UAUCAGGAAGUUUCUUGAUGGUAUCUAUGUUAGCGAGAAAAGCAAGAUCGUAGAGGAAGAAUGAAUGCCCAUAUCAUCGUCUUAGCUCCUAUUUCUUGUCUUUUGAAUGUUAGUUUCGUUUUAUGGACCAAAUCCACCGGUGUUGCAAAACUCUGGCUAUCCCUUGUUCCCUUUUUGUGUUCGAGAUUUUAUUUACUUAUGCACAAGUUUUGGAGACGAGCUAUCAUUUUCACCUUUGCUUAAUUAAAUCAUAUCGUGUGAAUUUGGGAUUGUUCUGGAUUUGGCAUUGUGGGUUGUGCAUUCAAAAUUGAUACUUCAGUCACUAAACUAAAAUCAAUUUCUCGCAACGCUGUGAUCAAACAUAAAGAUAACUUGAGACAACGAAAGCGAGCUUUGCAAUUUGAGAAAAGCUACGAGACGCCCUGAUGGUCAGGUGAUCAAUAUUAGUGCAGAAUGAUUCUGCUUUCCAGAAGUCCUCUUUCAACCAUCGUUUAUCAUAUUGGAAGCACCGAGGAUUCAUGAGACAACUUAUAAUUUAAUCAUGAAAUGUGAUUUCGACAUCAGAAAGGACUAGUAUGUUAACAUUGUGCUCAGUGGCGGAUCAACCAUGUUUCCAGGAAUUGCUGAUCGGAUAACCAAAGAGAUCACGGGGUUGGCACCUAGCAGCAGGUGGUUGCACCACCUGAGAAGAAUAUUGGAGGAUCCAUCUUGGCUUCUCUUAGCACAUUCCAACAGGUACCGUAAACUCUUUAACCGUGUGAUGAUGAUUCAAGUUAUUCACACAAAGUACUGAUGUUUGGUGUGGAUAUCAAAGGCAGAUUACGAGGGAUCAGGGCCAGCCAUUUUUCACAGAAAAUGCUUUUAGACAACCUCUUUAUGUAGCUUGUUGAUUGAUGAAAUUGGCUUAAGAUUAAUAUUUUUAGUCUUUAGUCGUGGCUUGUUUUAAGUUUUGUUCCUUUAUGUUUCUUCAUAUGUUUGAGAAAAGCGGAGAUGGGUGUGUAACUUUAUCCAAAUGUUCGUCAAGUUCAAGAACAGUAUAAUUUUGAAGAUUUGAUAUAAUGGUUGAAAAGGAGACUUGAAGAACAAGGUCAAAUGUGUUUUGGUAAUGGUUAUGUUUUAUAUGUUUUGAUCCUCAGUAUCCUCUCUGAUCGACACUUCAAACAUUUUGUACUUAUUUUAUCUCUUUGUUUAUUUUUUAUGGAUCGUCAGCUAAUAGAGAACCAAAGUUUGAAACCAAAGGUAUUAGAGAACAAACCAAAAGCCAAAAAGAGAGCAAACUAGAGAUAAAUACUAAAUGUGUCGUUAUUCUUCAAAACAAAGAUGGUUUCACAAGUCUUGCAGCCAUACCUCAUUAAGGCUGACGGUAUCCGAAUUGUGAUGGACAUGCUCGUAUUCAACUAAGAUUUGUGAAAAAGUCAGAUUACACAACAGUUUUCUAAAAAGUGUUGGACUCCACCAUAGUAUAACCACUGUGCAAAUCACCAUCUACCGUCAACAAUUUCAAUGUCUUAUUCACUCUGAAACGAGUAGAGUUUAUAUAGAGUGAGUGAGAGAGAGGUCAAUGUAGUGUCACUUGAAAACUGCAAUUUUUACUCUCGUUUUUUUACCGGUUUUACUUGUCUUUUUUACUUUUUAUAUAUUAUCUUCUAUUUAUUACCCAUUUUGAUGUUGCCUUAUUCAUGGUCAAAUAAUGCACAACCACGAGUAAUACCAUCACAGUCUCUUUGGUUUUGUUACGAAUUACUAGUAGUAUCUAAUCCGUAUGUCAAUGGGUUAGAAGUGAUAAAUUCCAUUAUGUAUAUAUAGUAAAUACUAAAUACAACAAUAUCACUUUAAAAAAUCCAAAACUAUAUAUUUAAAACGGAAUUCUCUUGAGGAAAAAAAUAAAUGGAAUUCUCUUUUAGUGUUUGAUAUAUACAAAUUAAUAGGAUUGGUAAUAAUCCCCCUUGAUAUGAAUACAACAGAAAAGACUAACAAUCAGUUUAUCAAACUAUUGUACAUUUCCUCUACCAACCACCAAACAAGAAGGAAUCGAUUCAAAAGCAGAGUAACUCAUGUCACUUAGCCACUAAGGUCACCGACGUUUCCCCUCGAAGGAAUGGUAAACAAUGCUUAUCAAACACCCACAAACCAUCUCUCUAGAUAUUCACGUAUGUUUAGAUAAAAGUAUCUCUUGAUACAUGAAUAUGUAUGUCACGUGUGAAGAAUUCUUAUGCUCAGUCGACAAAUCUAGCAUUGGUCCGGUGGGACAUGAAAACCCUGACAUUAUGCUCGACUUGUCUAGAAUACUAUGCCCCAUUUAUUAUCCUUUUACAUAGUACUGUAUCAAUUACAAAAAUGGGGAUAGGACAAGAUCCUAAUUAUCAAUUCCUCGAGUCCAAAGUUAUGGGUACCACGUGAAUUAUUUUACGAAUUUUCUUUAUUAUCUUGACUUCUUUACCUGAUUUUUUAUAUUUUCAACUACAUGGAGACAUGGCAAAACGAAAAAUGAGGCUAUUCAAUCUCCAACUUUAUCUCAAAAUUUUAUUUUUCCCUCUCUUUAAGACCACUUCUAAUAAUAAGUGUGGUUCUUGGCUUUUUGGUAAAGAAUAGACACCAAUUGUCCUUUUUUAUUACAAUAAAUUCGGACAAAUUUGAUUUCUUGUGAUGGUGGAUCCCUUUUUCUCGUGCUUCGAGCUCCAAUAAACUUUUCUUACAUUUUUAAUCCAUUUUUACGUUGAUAUUUUUUUAUAAAAUUUCCACCACCUUACAAAAGAUUUUAGCUUUUUGUGUUACUAAUUAAAAUCAGAACAAAAGUUGCAAGUCUUUCAUCUCUAUGCACAAAUGGCGAAAGAGAACAGUAGUCAUAGCCUUGCAGAAGCAAAGAGAAAGAGACUCACUUGGAUUCUUUGUGUAAGUGGACUUUGCAUAUUGUCUUAUGUUCUUGGAUCUUGGCAAACCAACACUGUCCCAACUUCUUCCUCUGAGGCUUACUCAAGAAUGGGAUGUGAUGAAACAUCAACAACCACUCGGGCUCAGACUACUCAGACUCAAACAAAUCCUUCUUCUGACGAUACUUCUUCCUCUUUGUCUUCCUCAGAACCAGUUGAGUUAGAUUUCGAAAGCCAUCACAAACUCGAGCUGAAGAUUACGAAUCAAACCGUAAAGUACUUUGAGCCAUGUGACAUGUCUUUGAGUGAGUACACUCCAUGUGAAGAUCGAGAGAGAGGAAGAAGAUUUGAUAGGAACAUGAUGAAGUACAGAGAGAGACAUUGUCCUUCUAAAGAUGAGCUUCUUUAUUGUCUGAUUCCUCCUCCACCAAACUACAAGAUUCCAUUCAAGUGGCCUCAAAGUAGAGAUUAUGCUUGGUACGACAACAUUCCACACAAGGAGCUUAGUAUUGAGAAAGCUAUCCAGAACUGGAUUCAAGUAGAAGGGGAAAGAUUCAGGUUCCCUGGUGGUGGCACAAUGUUUCCACGUGGAGCUGAUGCUUACAUUGAUGAUAUUGCUAGACUCAUUCCUCUUACUGAUGGAGCCAUUAGAACAGCUAUUGAUACAGGAUGUGGUGUAAGUUUCGAUUUCUUGUUACCAUUUUUAUAUGCAUCUAUCUAUCUUUGAUUUGUUUUUUAAUAGUUCUGUUUUCUUAGUUUAUUUUUUUAAUUACAACAAAUGAUUAUGUUAAAAUACGACUUCUUGAUUGGUUACCAAAUCGGAAGGAUAAUAGUUUAAUUAAUUCGGUAUCAUUUGGUUGUUUAGGUGGCGAGUUUUGGUGCAUACUUGUUGAAGAGGGAUAUUGUGGCUAUGUCAUUUGCUCCAAGGGACACUCAUGAAGCUCAAGUUCAAUUUGCGUUGGAACGUGGAGUUCCUGCGAUUAUCGGGAUUAUGGGAUCAAGAAGGCUUCCUUAUCCAGCUAGAGCUUUUGAUCUUGCUCACUGUUCUCGUUGUUUGAUUCCUUGGUUUCAAAAUGGUAAAGAACAUUUUCUUGACUUGUUUUUUCCAUAAGGUUUCUUGAUUGGUGUAGCAAAUAACCAAAAAAAGAAUUGGAUGUGUGUAGAUGGUUUGUACUUGACCGAAGUGGACCGGGUUUUAAGACCGGGCGGUUAUUGGAUCCUUUCGGGUCCACCGAUCAACUGGAAGAAAUACUGGAAAGGCUGGGAAAGAUCACAAGAGGAUUUGAAGCAAGAGCAAGAUUCUAUAGAAGAUGCAGCAAGAAGUCUUUGUUGGAAGAAAGUUACAGAAAAGGGUGAUUUAUCAAUUUGGCAAAAGCCUAUCAAUCACGUUGAGUGUAACAAACUCAAACGAGUUCACAAAACUCCUCCUCUAUGCAGUAAAUCAGAUUUACCCGAUUUUGCUUGGUAAUAAUCUCAACCCCUCCUAAAAGUUUCAUAUUUACUUACAUUUUUUUUGUAUUAUAAGUUUUACGUGAAUGCGAAUUAAAUCACCGAAUUUAGAUAUUAAUUCUACAUUUUUCUUUUUAAAAUUUAGAGUUUUGGUAAAAAAUGUUUUUUCUUACAAAGUUUAGAGUUAGUAUCUGAAUUUCGAGAUUUAUGAGAUAAAACAUGAAUGUUGCAUAGAACUUUUAUAUUUUUUUCUCUGUUUUCUUGUAUAAGAUGUUUUACCUAUUUGUUUCUCUUUCUUUUAAUUUUAAUUUUCUAUGCAACAUUCAAAUUUAUUUAGUGUAAAUUGUUCUAUGCAGCAUUCAAUUUUAUUGUAGUUAGUUAGUUAGUUCUAGAAAUUGAAAAAAAAAUUAGAAAUAAAUCGCUAAAACAUCUUAUUCUACUCAACGGAAAAAUGAUUUUUGAUAAUAGGUACAAAGAUUUGGAAUCUUGUGUAACACCAUUACCAGAAGCAAACAGUUCAGACGAAUUCGCAGGCGGUGCAUUGGAGGAUUGGCCAAACCGAGCUUUUGCGGUGCCACCUAGGAUAAUCGGGGGAACCAUUCCGGACAUUAAUGCUGAGAAAUUCAGAGAAGACAAUGAAGUGUGGAAGGAGAGAAUAUCAUAUUACAAACAGAUAAUGCCAGAGCUUUCAAGAGGAAGAUUUAGGAACAUAAUGGACAUGAAUGCAUACUUGGGAGGAUUUGCUGCGGCAAUGAUGAAAUAUCCAUCUUGGGUUAUGAAUGUGGUUCCUGUGGAUGCUGAGAAGCAAACGUUAGGGGUUAUCUUUGAACGAGGAUUUAUAGGGACUUAUCAAGAUUGGUGUGAAGGAUUCUCUACGUAUCCGAGAACUUAUGAUUUGAUUCAUGCUGGUGGAUUGUUCAGCAUUUAUGAGAACAGGUAAACACAAAUUACUACAUUUUAAUUGCGUUUAUGUUAUACUUAUAUAGUAGAUAAAUCUAUACACUGAAACAUUUUAAGGAAAAAAUUAUUUGUUAAUGGUAAAUGUUAAACACACAUGAAAGGUAGAUCUUUCGUUUGCGUUUGCAAUUUACAAAAUAUUAUAUGAAAAUAAACUCACAAAUUUGUGCGUCCAAUACUCCAAUCAUUUACAAGGGAUAUAUAAUUAAUUUAUAUUAUGAAUAUAUGUUUUUCAAAUAUUAUCAUUUAAACUAUAUGAUAAAAAAACAUGUACAUUUUCGAUAACUUGGGCUUUUAAAUAUGAACUAUCUUUAUUUAUUUUUUAUUUUUUUAAAAGAAACUAAGUAAUCUUUUUUUUUUCUGUUCUUAAAAUUCUAGUGUACUAGAAAUUGUGCACUUGCAUUUUUGUUUGCGUUCUCACUAACGUGAAUCCUAAUGUUGUUGUUGUUGUUGUUGUUGAUGAAAGGUGUGAUGUUACAUUAAUACUACUUGAGAUGGAUAGAAUUUUGAGACCAGAAGGAACCGUGGUGUUUAGAGACACUGUGGAAAUGUUGACGAAGAUACAAAGCAUAACCAAUGGAAUGAGGUGGAAGAGUCGGAUUUUGGAUCAUGAGAGAGGUCCUUUUAAUCCUGAGAAGAUCCUUCUCGCUGUAAAAUCCUAUUGGACCGGUCCUUCUUCUUAGCUAGUUCUAGCUUUCUUGGAACUCUCUACUCUAAUCUUUUUCUUAUCUUGUGUGUCUCAUCUUUGUUUUAUUUUUAAUUGUUUGUUUUAAAAGAUUUCUAUGAUUAUAUAAGAAAAUACAGGGAGGAUCAACAUCUUCAGAGACAUGUUGCUUCUCGAGAACAUUUUACAUGCAUUUGAGGUUUUGAAUGGUUGUCAUAAAGCCAACUCCUCUAGCCGAAUCACUCUUAAAAUCGACAUAUAUAUUUCUAAAGCUUUUGAUUCGGUUGAGAUGAGACUUUUUACUAAGCUUGCUUCAUGUAUUAAACUUUCAAUCGGAGUUUAUGGAAUGCAUCAGAGCGUGUAGUUGCUCCCCUUCCUUCUCACUCACUAGCAACGGUACAUCCUCAAGAUUUUUAAAAGGCAAAUCAGGGCUGAGACAAGGUGAUCCGCUCUCGCCAUCUCUUUUUGUCAUGUUAAUGAAUGUGCUAUCUCUAAUGCUGAAUCAAACAAGCAUGUUUUUACGGUGUUUUUACGGUGCUCUCCAAGUUUGAACAGAUCUUUGACCUCUCGGUUAAUCUAGCAAAACAAUUAGCAUGUUUUGUUCGGGUGUUGAUGACACGAUACUGCUGCAAGUCCAAAACAAGUUUUUUCUCUCUCUAGUUGCCCCUCUAAUCUGUUACCUUGGUUUGUCGUGGUGUUCAAGGAAAUUUUCAGUUGCAGACUGUGAUCCUCUAGUACCUUAGCUUUGCAAAAAAAGAAUAGUUCGUCAUAUUUGAGUCUCGCAUGUGGAUAUACGCUCAUCUCUUCGCGGGAUAUCAUGGAUAAUUGUUUUAUGGAGCUUUAUGUUCAUGCUACCAAAGCUGAUUAUACGUCAUACAAACACACUUUACAACACCUAUUUUUGGCAUGGCUCUAUUUGGGUGGCUUGGCAUUCUCUUUCAGUACCAAAUCACUCAAAAUACAAGAUCGAAUACACCCCGGCCUACAUUUGUAUUGCACCAAAAUUAAGAACAUAUUCAUGAUUUUAUUUGUUAUUUUAAUUUAUUGGUAGCUCGACAAUUACUAAAGAAUAUUGUUUACAUUACAGAAAAAUCUAGAAUCAAUUCAUUAUUAUUCUUUAUGUUGUUUUUCAUUUGUAUGCAUCCUUAGUAUGUACAUGCUUCGUCUUGUGAUGCAUCAUUUCAUCUCAAUAACAAGUUAUAAAAAAAAAGUUUAACAACAAAAAAAGAAAAUUAUACAUGAAUGAUAACACUAAAUUUUACCAUGUUUUAGAUUAUGCUUUCCAUGCAUUUAGCUUAGUUUCAUGACUAUUUUCAUGCAUUCCUAGUCAUUUUCUUUCACAUUUCAUGUUUUGCAUUGCAUUAUAUAGCAUAUUUGCAUAUGGAGUGAUUUGCAGGUAAAACAUGUGCUUUUGGACCUGUUUUGGGAGUUUCUAGCACAAGGAGAGGAUUUGCUCAAAUUUGCACAUGAAGGGAAGGACAAGGAGCUAUGCUCGGGGAUUUUGCUCGGCCUGUUGAUCGAGUACCAAGCCGAAGAGUUGUCGUCUGAAGAAGUGAAGCUGCUCGACCUAACCUUCACGAGAAGAAGUCGAGUUCACCUACUCGGUAUUUCUACUCGGCUUCUUGUCGAGUGGUGCUUCACCGCCUUAGUUAUUUGUCGUUUUACUUUUUAGGGGUUCCUUGUAUUUACUAUAAACAGACCUCUUAGGUUAUUGUACAAAAGCAUAUUUGCUUUGUCCGCUGGAUUAUAGAUUUUCUUUGUUUGUAGUUCAUUUUCCUAUUGAUCUAUUGAGUUUUUGAGUUUUAUUUUUUCUGCAAAGUUGUUCAUCUUGUUUAGAUGAUUAGAUCUAUAACAUACUAAGUUUAUAAUGAUUUAUGGGUUUUAUGAUUUUUCUGGGUUUUGUAUGAUGAUGUUCUUAAGUGUUCUUGAGUAGUGUUCUUCAUAGCUCUUGAGGAUGGGUUAGGUUUAGGCGUAUUUCUCUGUUUCUUUAGCUAACUAAGUGUUUAUAUGUAUGAUUUCCUUCCAGAUUAGGUGUUCUUACUGCUAUUUCCUUUUUUGAUCAAUUGGAGGUUGAUCUCAGACUUCCCACACCCAAAAGGUGUUUGAUGAAAUGUCUGAACUAACUAAUUCCACUGAUUUACAUACUCUAGCCCAAGAGAUUAGAUGUUUAAAAUACUAAUUGAUUUUAAUAGAUUGUUGUUUAAUGUCUGCUUUGCUAUGUUUCAUCAAUGACAAUUGAUAUUAGGAAGUAGUAAAGUGAUGAGGAUCAUUGUCACGAGAGUGGAUUGAUCUGAUUUUGAAUCUAUUGUGUAUGGAUAGCUUGAUUGAGGUUGUUAGUUAGCUAAAUGGAUUGAGGAGUCAACUAGAAUCCAUUCGCCCCAUUCUUAAGACCUAUGUUCCUUCUGAUUGAUUGAAUUUCUUGUUCAUCUGCUCGAAUUUUGUGUUCCUUCUGUUUAGUUCAUCUGCUCGCUUGACUUGUUUACUCGACAUGCAUGUUCAAUAUGCUCGGCCGAAUACCUUGUAUGUUCUCUAUUUAGUUUGCUCUUUAGUUUAUGCAUUUGAUAGCACCUGUCUUUAGUCUACUUAUUGCAUUGUUGCCUUGUUUAGUUCCUAUUUAGUUUAUUUUCUGCAUCUAGUACUUAUCGUGUUUAGUUUUUGCUAUUGUUCUUUAAUUUCUGCUUAGUAUAGUUGCAUUUGAAAUUUGGUAUUGCAUGUUAACCUUUUGCUUAGAUUUAGUAGAAACACACCAAACAUAUUCACAUUUGACUUGACUUAGUAUAAACUCGAUAACAAAUACACUCAUUUGAAUUGACACCUUAAAUACUAGAAUGACAUGAUAGUAUUAUAGGAAUUGAUCUAUAAAACACAUAAAGAAUCACAAGUUUUACUAACCAAUCAAUUUUCUGGUCAACUAUUGAGAUUAAAUUGGAAGUUAACUUUAGCUUUCUUAUGACACUUUUCUAAUUUAAAUUUAAAAUCUAAAUCGUCUAUUUGUGUGUUGAAAUUGUAUUAAUGCAAUAUGAGAUUUCACAUUUUUCAUUUUGCCAAAUUACCUCACUAACUUUUCAUUUCGUAUGAAUGCUUAUUUUAUAUACAUUUCUCAUUGUUCUUCUUUUUGAAAAAAUAAAUCAAAACUUAAAUGAUGAACUAAAUUAAAAUCCAAAAUAAAUGAUAAAUUAAAUUUCUUAUUCAAAAAACAACAAGCACGCUAUAUAUUUUUUCUUAAGAUCUCCAAACUAUACCGUCUGAUAGAUACUAUAUUAUGAAAAAUAAGAUCUUAAGUAGAUUUAAUGACUUAUUAUAUAUAUUUCUCUUUAAAAAUAUCAUCAAAGAUAUCUAUGCUCAAAACAAAAUUAGCAUCAAAUCGUUAAAGACAUAAACAAAUUUUCUUAAAACAAUGAAGAGAUGCAUUAUAGUUUUUAAAACAAUGAAGACAUUGUGGACAAAAAAAAUAGAAAGUCAUCAAUUACACUUUCUGACCAUUUUUGAACCAUUUGUAAAUAUUUAAUUUUUUGUAUUUUUCAGUCGAUUUAACAAAACUCCAAAAUAUGACAAAACUAGAAAAAAAACAUGUUUGAGAGAACUUGUUCUAGAUUUCAUUUUCUUUACCUCUUCUUUUGAGAAUAUGAAUAUUUUCUUCGUCAUAUUACAAAACUCACUGCAUGAACAAAACCCUCAACAUCAAAUAUUUUUUUCAAUUCCUUAACACAUUUUUAAUAUAUAGAAAACUAAAGGAAACAUAAAGUCAUGUAUCAUCUCAACAAGCAUUAUAUCUCAUGCAUUGGUUUUAAAGGUCAUUUCUCAUUGAUUGUGGAUUCGUAACUUGCUUUUAAGAUCAAAAUUUUUCUCUAGUUCCACUUUCAAUUGAUCAUAUCCAUGUAAAGCAUUUAAAUCCACAAUUUUUCUUAUGGCUACAUCGUAUCUGAAGAUGUUUAGUGACACCAUAUAAAGAUCAUGUGAGCCGAGUAGAGUCAUCAAAGCUUUACACAAAUAUCUUUCUAAUAUAUUUUUGAUGUCUUAAUAUAUUGAGGCACAACAAAUGUUUGUUCAAGUGCACUAGUUUCACAUAAUUACAAAAAGGGAUGUCGUAGAUAAAUAGUACAAAAAUGAUUAUUUUAUUCUUACCUUAGUACGACUUAUUGUAAAAUUGAAUUGUGUAAUUUGGACCUCUUUUAGUGAUGUAUGAGUUUUGAAUAUGUUCAAUCAUUUUAUUUUAAGAGAGUUUAGAAACUUCAGAUUUUUUAUUUGAUCCAAUUAAACCCAUGGGGUCUUUGAUCUUUAAGGUUGUGGCGAGAUCAACUUUAAACAAUAUGUAAAUUAGUAUUUUCUUUAUUGGUUGAACUAUUUAUUCGUUGUUAUUGUUUUGUUUCGAUAUGGCUGGGAUUGAGCCACUCAUUAUCCAACCAUAAAGAGACUUGCCUUACAAUGACUAAACUAAUGAACACUAAAGAGAGAAUCAAGCUCAGUUGUCUAAUUUCUUGCCAUGUCUGAAAAUUCGAUGAUAUUGAAUAUAAAUAUAGGAAAUAGCAGGAAUGAGAAAUGCAUUCACAAAAACAUUUUAGCUUAUCGAAAAAAUGAUAAUAAAAAUGUUACAUUUUACUUAUAUCAUUAAGAUGACGAGAACAUUUUUUAUUGAGGAAAGUUGACUGAGAAAUAAUUGAUGAAAGCAUUAAAUGCUCGAUAUUCCAUGUUGAAACCUUAUCAGGUAAAAAUGAAGGACCUGACAAAGUUUCACCAUGGGACAUCGAGCAUUUAAUCCCUUCAUCAAAUUUCCUGUCAACUUUGCUCAAGAAAAAACGUUUUUUUGUCGAUUUAGUGAAAUUAGUAAAAUGCAAAAUUCUUAAAAUCAUUUGUUUCAUUAGUUAAAACUUCUUUGUAAGUACCUUUUACAUUCCAUCUAUUUUCUUAUUUAUGUUCUAAAUCACUGAAUCUUUGGACAUGCCAAGAAAUUAAACAACCAAACAUGUAUUCUCCCAUUAGUAUUCUUCGGUACAGUUAAAUAUUCCAAGUGUCAUUCUUGUCGGCUAAUGAGUUACUCAAUCUCAACCAUGAACACAAAAACUAUAACAACAGCCAAAUGGUUCAACCAAUGAAAGAAAAAUUAGUUGCAUAUUAUUUGGAGUUGAUAUGACAACACUUCAACUCACAAAUAUCCAAUGACUCUAAUUGAAUCAAACCAAAAAUCUGAAAUUUCUAAACUUUCUCAAAGUAAAAUGCUUGACCAUAAAUCAAAACUCUAACAUCACUAAAAGAGGUCCCAAUGACAUAAUUCAGAUUUAGUGGAAGUCAUACUAAGGCAAACAUAAAAUCACCGUUUCGUACUAUUUAUCUAUGACAUCUCUUAUAUAUGCAUGUGAAAUAAGUGUAUUUAAACAAGCAUUCGUUGUACUUCAUAUUUUUAAGAAUCAAAUAUAUUUAUAGAAAGAAAUUUACGUAAAGCUUUGAUGACUCUACUCAGCUCACAUGAUCUUUAUGUGGUAUUACUGAACAUGUCUAGAUGCCAUGUGUAGCCAUGGGUAAACUAUAGAUUUAAAUGCUUUACAUGGAUAUGAUGAACAGUUGAGAGUGGAACAAGAGGAACUCUUUGAUCUCAAAGGUGAAUUACAAAUCCUACAAUCAAUAUAAAAUUGUCUUUAAAGACAAUGAAGGAGAUAUGAUGCUUGUUGGGGUGAUCCAUGGUUUUGUAAUUCCUUUAUCUUUCUAUAUAUUGAAAAUAUGUUAAGACAUUAAAAGAAAUUAUUUGAAGUUGAGGGCUGUGUUCAUGUAGUUAAUUUUGCAACAUGGCGAAUAAAAUAGUCAUAUGACCAAGAGAGGAAGUCUAGAAAAUGAAAUUCGAAAACUCGGAGACAGAGAUUAGAAAGCAACAUGCCACAUGCAAGAUCAUGGUGUGUCAAACACACUACGACUAAUAAUACGAGGAGAUUACAAAUAGUCACUAUCAAGAGAUCAUGUGACAUUGAAAUGAAUUCAUUAGUCUCAAUGGUCGCUGACACGAACCAUGAAAAGUAGUUAAGAGUCUGCAACAGUUUCUCACUGUACGAGUAGGAAUCCAUGGAUAGCUCGGUAAAAGAGUUGUCUCCAUAACAUAGGAGGGUGGUGAAAGUUUCUCUAAGUAGUAGCAUUGUUGUAACAACAAUUUCUUGUAUCAAAAGUGAAUAGGAUUAUUUUGACCCUCAAGGUCAGGUCAGAUAGGUAUCGUUAUGUUGUGUUAAGUUGAAGCUUGGACUCCCUCGGGAAGAUGAUUUGAGGGAGUUGGAUCUGUAACUGAGAAGAGGAGGCAACUAAAGACAUGGUUAACUUGGGAUCACAAAAGGUACAAGCUAGAAUAUAAACAUUUAAGCCGAUAAUAAUGGUCUCAUCCUAAAAGAAGGGAGCUUGGGGCAGUUGAACUGAUAUCCUUUGUGCUAAAAAGUUCUUCAGACAAAAGCCGAGAUGAGCUUGCGAAUAGGAAUCGAGAUAAGAAAGUACAAUACCAAACUAGACUAAAUGAUUCAACGCUAUAAUGAUGUCAUAAGUCAAUCAACACAAAGAAUAAAAAAAUCCAAUAAAAUAAUUGAGAAUACAAAGGAAAUAAAUUGGAGAUGUGCAAAGUAAUUGUAGAGAGUGAUAGGGCACAUAAAAAGGAGAAAGCUUUCUUGGAGGAACAUAAGGGCCAUAGUUCUACAGAUGAGAACGUGGGUCAAGGUCAUUAAGGAUCAUCUCUAGAGAGUUAGGGUUUUGCCCAGCCAACUAGUGAUCUACUCAUUACAAAACUGGGCCAAAACAUUAAUAAUGGGCCACAACUGGAGAACAUGCCCACUCACUAAAACCCUAGCUUCUUUUUGCAAGUUUGAAUGGUGUCGUUUUUUGGUGAUUGCACUGUAGCAAAUCAAAGGUAAUAGAUGGGUUCAUCCACGCUGGAAAGGAAGGCAGUUUUGGGGGUUUUAAACCCUCAGAAAGAGGGGCGAAGGAGAUGAAAAUAAGUAUCCAUAAUAAGACGGCUUCAUGCACCGUUAAUGACUCCAUCAGACAUGGUGCAAAUGACAGUCCAAGAGUAAAGAUUCCUGCCAUCAACAAAGUCCGGUGGCAAAGAGUAAAGAUGUGCAAAGUAACUAGAUAGAGUGACGGGGGACAAACAAAAGAGAACGCUUUCUCGUAUGAAAGGGACAUAGUUCUACACAUGAGAACGUGGGUUAAGCUCAUUAAGGAUCAUCUCUAGAGAGAUUAGGAUUUUGUCAAACCAACUAUUGAUCUACUCAUUACACAACUGGGCCACAACUGGGAAACAUGCACACUCGCUAAAAUCCUAGCUUCUUUUUGCAAGUGUGAAUGGUGGUCGUUGCUUGGCUGUUACACUGUAGCAAAUCAAAGGUCAUAUAAGGGUUCAUCGAUGCUGGAAAGGAAGGCAGUUUUGGGGUUUUUCAACCCUCCGAAAGAGGGAUGAAAAUUAGGACCAAAACGAGACUAAAGUGGUAAUACGAUUACAAAAGUUGCGAGCAAGAAGAGAAAAAUUCCGAUGCUGGCGAGUCAAAGCUUCAUCGACAUCGGAAAUCAAGGCUAGGGUAUCAUUCUCAAUAUAAGAGCAUGGGAGCGAUUUCUAUUUUUUCCUAAAACCUCAAUUAUAAUCUUAAAUUUGUUGUUACUUGAACAAAAAUUAGAGAUAAAUUACUAUCUUUUAAUGACCAAAUUUGUUAUUUCGUUGGGAUGUUUUACUAAUUGAUUAUUACCGAUUAUGAUGAAUAAACGAUAAACUUAACUAUUUGAAAAUGAUAUGUCAUAUUUACCUGGAAUGUAGAUUUACUUAAAUCAAUCUACGACAAAUUAAUUUUUGUUGCUAUAUUGAUGUAAACCCUAUUUACAACGAAUUAACAACAAAGUGGAUCGCUAUUAUAAAUGUGUUUCUUGUAGCUUAAAAUAAUUCAAUCCAAAUUUUGAAGCAAAGUUUUAUUUAAAAACUGACCGAUAUUUGUCAGCAACGACGAUAUAAGCAUUGUAAGAGAACCACGUAGGUUGAUUGUUCAAUGCAUUAUCCAAUAUCGUCUUUGCCUCAUAUUUCUCCACAUCGAUUGUUUUUGCUCUUAUAGUUUCCUUUUUGAUGUUUUCCGCUCUAGAUCUGUCAAUUUGCAUUCAUUAUUCGCUCUUAGUUAUACUCUACAAGGUAUAAAAAUAUUGAUGAAGAAACAUAUUAAACAAUACUAUAACACAUCAAAAACUGAUUAACGAAUUUCCAAAUAUUACCUUAAACUCUUGAACUGAAACAAAGUUUGAAAAAGUUUUUAUCCAAAUCAAAAACGUCAACCAUUUAUCCCCUAAUCUGAUAACAAUUUAAAAUUUUCAAAAAAGAUAUUUUGAAUAGAGGAUAUCAAAAAAUUUCUAUGAAGAAAAUAAUUUCAAAUCAACAUAAAUAAAUAUUUGAACAGAUGGAUUGAAAGCAAAAGCUCGUUAAGAUCCAAAGAUAUUGUUCCUCUAAAUUACAUGCUUGCAUAAGAAAUAAUCCAUCAAAAGUUAAAGAAAUACAUGGCAGAUCUAAAAAAUUGUAGUAAUAUAUUGGACACAAAAAGUUGUUGCAAAAAGUGAUCUAAAGAGAUUUUAGGCACAAAAACUCAUUAGAUAUUAAAAAAAUAAUAACUUGAUGUACAAAAUUUGUUGAAAUACAAGAAGCUUGAAAAAUUACGAAACAAAAUCGGAUUUUAAAAGUAAUUUCAUUUACAAUCUAAAAAAUUGAUGCUUUCAAAAUUGAAUAUAGUUGUGAACAAAAAGAAUUGAAGAUACAUAAAGGUGAAAAAAGCAAUACUGAUUAUACCAAUUCAUGCAACAAAACAAGGAUUAAUUGAUUAGAUGGUUUCGCUCCAAAAUUCGUUAAAAACGAAUCUCCAACAGACAGUUUGCCCACGAAAAACCGUUGGAAAACUUAUGAAACAUUUCAGGAAAAGGUAAUUAAAAUUUUUACAAUGAAUUAAACAUGUUGAUCUCUUUCUACUACCCCAAAAUAUAUUAUAUACUAAUAAAUUAAAAAAUGGUCAAAGUAAAAUGAUGGCAAGUUGGCAUUAGAUACCCUAAUAUUAAUGCAAUAAAUUAAAAAGUGAUCAAAGUAAAAUUAUCUACUAUCCAUAUUAUCUUGGAUAAUUAAUAAUAUAGAUAUUUAGAAGAUUUUGGUUGAGAUUUAAAAUUAUUUUUUUUCUAUAAUUUUUGUUUAAUUUAUUUGAAUCAUCAUAUAAUAGAGAUUUAAUAAAACAAAAAUCAGCAUAUGUUGUGAUUCAAAAUUUUAAAAGCGGAUAUAUAUUGUUCAAUUAUAAAGGGAAAAAAUGUAUGUUCUUACAUCGACUAAAAUGUUUAGACAAUGGAUCAGUGUCAUAUUAUAAGUAAAACCAAUUGAAUUCAAAUCUGAGUGAAAAUAAAGCUUAACUUAACAAGCAUCCAAAAUUAACAAGGAUAUAAUAAAUUUUAAAAUCUUAAAAAGUUGAAAAUAUAUUUAUUGAUAUAUUUUGAAAAAUAUUACAAGACUCAGGUUAUAUGGUAAAAUAGGUUUAAUUGACAUUAAUACGGUGUCAUAAGAUAGAUAAAUAAAUAUUUUAUUGUUUUGUUAACAUUAGCGAUAUUAAAAUAUUAGAUAUGUAGAAUUAAGCUGAUUCAAUUAUGAUUGUGUAAGAAAGUAUAUAUUGCUCUUUUUCAUAAGCAAACAUACUUUGUAUCAGGUUUUUAUAACCAACCAAUCCAAUAUCAGUUUACACCGUGUAAUGAAAAACUAUCUUUUUAUCACGAAUACUAGUUUCAUGUGUACUUUAAUAUUUGCAGAAUUAUAUAUUUUAAAUACAUUCUUAAUUAGCAGUAACAUAUUUAACUGAAUCUAAAUUUGAAUAUAAUUGGAAAUUAGAAAUAAUAAUUAAUCUAAAGCCUAACUGUAAAAAUAUACUUCAUUAAAAUUUGUUCACAAACCAAAACCAAAGCCUUUAAAAGCGUUAUAUAAAAUGUAAUUCAUACACUUUACUAAGGAAAACCCAAAAAAUAUGACGUUUAACCAAACCGAAAAUCGCAUUAGCCUUAAACAUAUUAACCAUUUUCAACCAAUAAAAAUAUAUAAAUAAACAAAAGAUUAAAAUUUUGAUUUUUGAACUGAUAUGUUUAUAUGUUUCGGAUAGAUUGAAUCAAUUUGAUUAUUAUCUAUAUAGAGAGACAAAAAAAUGUGUUUACAAAGUCAUAUAAAUAUUUUUCGCUUGCACAUCAUUUUAUAUAAAAACAAUAAGUGGACGCCUAACUGUUUUUUUUUUUUUUUGCCUGUAAUGAAAAAUAUCAAUCAUGCAACUUCCUUCUUUUGUCAAAGGAUCAUGCAACUUCCUUCUUAGACCAAUUCAAAGUCAAUUUAAUAGUGACUGUUUUUUUUUUUUGUGAACACAAUUUAGUAGUGACUUAAUUCAUUCUUCUUCGGCACAUCCUCUCCGCUAGGGUUUUCAAUUUGUCUCUUUAUUUCUUUUAUCUCGUCUUCAAACAUGAAUAUGACUACUUGUGUUACUAGAAGAACCCAUUAGAAGAUUGAAUCGUACUUGAAUUUGAUUCUUAAUGUAACAUCGAAGUUUCAUGAAAUAUGGUGGUGCAUGUAGAAUGAUUUGAAAGAACUGAUUUGAGUACUUAUAUCACUAAAAUGCAAUUAUUUUUUCAGUCAAACAAUCAGAGAGAAUUUCACAAUUAAGCAUGCUUAAACUAGAAAAAUUUCAAGAUAAGUGACCUUUUGCGAUGUGAUUGUGGAGACUAUGUGAGUGAAGACAAAACACGUGAAAAUAUAAUGUUGUGAAUUUGUAGGAUCUGUAAAAAAAACAUUAAAACAUCUCAGAGAUAACGAACCAGCUGUCGGAUAAAAAUGAGCUGACAAGCGCAGAAAAGACAUGGGGUCCAUAAAGGAUGGCGGUCUGGGCAUACACUUGAUACCCAUAGAAAUAACAUACAUUUCAAUCCAAUCCAUUUCCCAAGGAAACAUCAGAAUCAUAUAACUGAUCAAGUUCAUAGUCACUUCUUCAAACUCCUAUGAAUCAUUUUUAAACCAGUAAUUUUUAAAUAAAUUGUGUUGACUUAAGUUACUUUUCGUCUUUUUCUAUUAAAAAUCAAACCUUGUAUAUAAAUCGCUAAUUUCUGUUGACUUUACAAUGAAUAAAACUGAAGCAAUAUAUUUGUCGUUAAUCUAAACAGUAAUUUAGGAUGAUUUAAGUUAAAAUAUUUCUAUCACUAAUUUACGACGAAUGAACGUUGUAUUUUAUAUUCCUCCUAAAUGCCUUGUAAAAUGGACAUAAGUUUACGAAAACAUUUUGUCGUAAAAUGUUGAUGGUUAAUCUAUUUUUUUGAAGUGAAAUUAACUUUCUAAUGUUACCUAGAUUAGUUUUUUAAAUCUAAAUAUUGAUUAAUUAUCUUAAAUAACUACAUCUAAUACAGCGACAUGGUAGAAAGGAGUAUGCUUUUCUCAUGAAACACUGAAAUACUCCUUUUGUGUAUGGCUGGCGGUUCAUGAUAGGCUUGCUACAGGCGCUAAGAUACUAAGAUGGAACAGGGACGCAACAGGGGUCUGCUAUUUCUGCAAAAACUGCAUUGAAUCUAGAGAUCAUCUCUUCUUCUCUUGCACUUUUACUUUGGUUAUCUCGACAGGCUCGCUAGAGGUUUGUUCAAGCGGGAGUAUACAAGUGAUUGGUCUCAGCUCAUCAAUACAGUCUCAGCCCCGCGAAGUAAUAGAGUUGAGAGGUUCCUGAUGUGAUACUUAUUUCAAGUCAUACUCUAUACAGUUUGGAGAGAAAGAAACGGAAGGCGUCAUGAUGAAAAACCAAAUUCUGCAGCUAUGUAUAUUCAGUGGAUCGAUAAGCAAAUACGAAAUCAAUUAUCCAUCAUUCGAAUGAUGAAAGACCGACGAUGCGAUGCUAGCUAUCAAGGCUGGCUCCAAAGUCAAGCUUAAUAACAAUACAUCUCAAAUAAAUUUUUUUUUUAAUUUUUUCUAUCAAAUUCAUGAAGAAUUAAUCGUAAAAACGUUAUUUUUUCUUUGAAUUUAAUUUAACAUUAUUUAAAGAAAAAAAAUAAUUAUCUAAAAUAACAGUUGACUAUCCAAAUAAACAUUUAAUUGACUUUAAGAUAUACAAUUAAUAAAAAGCUAAUUGUCGGUCAUCAACCUCCUUUUUGAGAUAAUUAUCUUUUUAUUAAUUGGUAUUCAACACUGAAAUAUUUGUUUUUUUUUGGAAAAAACUUGAACAUGUUUCAUAGUGCAUUGCUUCAGUUGAUCCUAUAAACUAUGAAUCAUGUUAUUUUCUCGGAAAUUAUAUGUUCUUAUUUGCUUAUGAAUAAUUUGGUCUACAACUUUCUUAGUACUGAGAAAAUAAAAAAGCUAAUUUAGAAUUACACAAAAGAAAAAGAUUUUUUUUUGACCCAGCACAAAAGUGUGAAAUGAACUACACGUUUUGCCCACAUAACCUUAUCAAUAGUUGCAUCUUGCAAGUGGAUCUUCGUUGAAUGUCAAUUAAUUGGUUUUGUUGAAUGCAUAAUUAGGUUUUCUGAUAUGAACCAACAAGAUUAUUUGUUAGAUUAUUCGACUGAUUACUUUCUAAGCCAUUCUGUUUUUCAGUUUUUGUUGUCGGUAUUUUAUAAUCGACUAUAAUUGGAUAGGAUAAUUUGGGUUAUUUGAUUUUAUUUAAUCAAGAUAUAUUCAAUUUUAGUUUUUUAUUCUUAAUUUCAAAAUUAUGUGGCUAGGAUCAUGCAGCUCCCAUAAUCGAGACCAGGAAUUAAUAAAUUAUCCCUUCCAACAAGAUACCAAACUCGUGUCCGCAUAGGUGCAAAGAAAACAAAUGUUGGCCUAUGAUAAGAUAUAUGACUUUUACAAAAACAUGUAACUAUAUCUUCCAAAAAAUGAACUUUAUUUCAGCAUUAAAACACACAAAAUCAUAUUUUGAAGAAGAUUCAAAAUCUCAAAUCACGAUUUUAAGAGUUCAUUUCCGAGAUUUCUUGAUAAUAUAUGUAGCAUGCCAUUGACCACGAAUAGAUACUUUGUUUCUUUGUUAUGACUCUCCAAUUUGGCAUAGGUCGAAAGAGAAAAUUCAUCCACCUUAGGGUAAGAUUUAUUGAUCAGUUUAAUGAUUUAUGCAUAUUGGCGUAAAAUUCAUGUAUCUUUAUAGUUUAGUUUGUAACUUAUACAAAAAUAUCAACAAUACAUGAAUUUAUUAAUUACGUAUAUUAUGUAUCAAUUACUCAAAUUCAUGUACUUUCGUUACGUUUCUUCUAGACAACUCAAUUGGAUUGAUUUUAAGUUUCUUACGAAAUAGUAAGAUUCAGUUAAACAAAAAUAAAAGUGUAGAUGGGAAUACUCGUCGGGUCAUUGACAUGGGAAUACCGUUGGUAGCCACUCUGGCAACAGUCUUGCAAACGCAUCGAAGUCGUCGACACCGAGCUGAACUUUACAACAAAAUAGAAGCAGAAAUUCAGAGAUUACAACAACAAGUACAAGAAGCGGGUAAAGAUGUAUCACUUUGGAGAUCUUAGGGAAAUGAUUUCAGAAACCAGUUUAUAACUAAAGUCACCUGGAAUAAUGUUAGAUUGCCUCAACCACAGAGAAGCUGGUACAAGGGCGUUUGGUUCCCCUACUCCACGCCCAAGUACUCCUUCAUUUUGUGGCUCGCAAUACACAACAGACUUUCAACCGGAGAUCGCAUCAAAACAUGGAACUCCGGUCAACAAGUCGCAUGCAAUUUCUGCAACGAUGCCGAGGAAACAAGGAAUCAUCUCUUUUUUUCCUGCAGGUAUUCCUCUGAGGUUUGGGAAAAUUUGGCUCAACGCCUCCUCUCCACUGACUACUCGAGUCACUGGAAUCAUCUAAUUGCCAAAGAAUCUGCUCUUCCUGUUCCGGUAUGUCUUUCAAGCUUCCAUCUCCCAUAUUUGGUGAGAGAGAAAUGCAAGACGUCAUGGGGAACUCAGCUUACCAUCAAACAGGCUCAUCAAGCUCAUUGAUAAGACUGUCCGCAAUAGAAUCAGUUCAAUACGAGACACCGGAAACCAUAGCUACAACACAUGCCUGCAGUUAUGGUUCUCCACACGGCCACGCUCAUCUCUGCAACUUCUCUAAAGUCUCCUCUGUUUUUGUACCUUCUGCUUUUGCAAUUUCAGCUUUUGUAUCCUCUGUUUUUCUUUUAAAACACUCAACACACGGUUGCAUUCAUUGUACAAAGGAUUUUGAUUGAAGAAAAUUUUACAUUCUUUCAAAAAAAAAAAAAAAAGUGUAGAUAAAUAUAACCUAGUGAAAAAAGAAAAAAACAAAUUUGUAAAUACAUCGACGGCUAAGAUUACACAUAGAACCAAAAUAAAAGAAUUUUACUAUUAUAUUGAUAGAAUAAUACUGGAAAUAGAUCUCAGAUAUGUAGCUAUAUAAAUAUAUACACACAUUUGCAACCUAUAUUUUGCAACGUAACAAAACAAAUAAAGAAACAAAAUUUUGUUCCUUCCUCUUCUACAAGCAAGUACGAUCUUUUGCUAUAUUUUGCAGACAAAAGUUUCAUCAUGGUCUAUUCCUCUAAGAAGCUGUUCUUGUUCUUCCUCUCGUGCAUUAUGCUGACUUUCAACUAUAACACUAGUGGCUUCGUAGCCGCAGCAAAUAGCAUAGGCUUGAACUACGGCCUCCUCGGAGAUAACUUCCCAACUCCAUCCAAUGUUCUCAACCUUUACAAGUCCAUAGGCAUUACAAAAAUCCGAAUCUUCGACCCAAAAACAGAGGUUCUUAACGCCUUACGCGGCCACCGUAAUAUUGAAGUCACUGUUGGCGUGAGGGACCAGGACUUGGGUGCUCUUUCAGCUAACGAAGAAGCUGUUAAGGGCUGGUUUGCAACCAACAUCGAGCCUUACUUAGCCGAUGUCAACAUUGCGUUCAUUACUGUUGGUAAUGAAGUCAUCCCCGGACCAAUCGGUCCUCAAGUGCUUCCGGUCAUGCAGUCUCUUACCAUCCUCGUCAAGUCGAUGAACCUUCCCAUCUCGAUAAGCACCGUGGUGGCUAUGUCGAAUCUUGAGCAAUCAUACCCACCUUCUGCUGGAGAGUUCACGUCUCAAGCGCGAGAACAACUUGUCCCCGUGCUGAAACUAUUGUCUCAAACAAGUACGCCUAUUCUCGUCAAUAUUUACCCUUACUUUCCUUACGCAUCCGACCCAACGAACAUCCCUCUAGACUAUGCUACCUUCAACACUAAGGCCACCGUCGUCCAAGAUGGACCAUUGGGCUAUUCAAACAUGUUUGAUGCAAUCUUUGACGCAUUCGUGUGGGCAAUGGAGAAGGAAGGCGUGAAAGAUUUACCCAUGGUGGUGUCCGAGACCGGAUGGCCAUCUGCCGGAAAUGGGAACUUAACCACACCGGAUAUCGCGGGUACUUACAACAGAAAUUUCGUGAAACAUAUAGUAAGCGGGAAGGGAACGCCUAAGCGACCCAACAAUGGAAUGGAUGGGUUUUUAUUUGCAACGUUCAACGAAAAUCAAAAGCCGGCCGGGACUGAUAUGAAGCCCAUCUAUAAGCUAUUUUAAGUUUGAAAGCUGCUUGGACUUUCCCUAUUCACUAAUAAUAAUCUCUGCUAGUUUGUUAGUGAACUAAGAUUAACACAUGUUAUUGGCUAUUGGCUUAUGUGAAAGUGAUGAGAUCUGGUAGCGAGCUUAGUUGACUUUUUAAUAAAUCUGAAAUUGGUAGUUGAUCCUCUUACUGCGUCGUUUAUGGUUGAGCCCCAAUUUUGUUUCUCGUUAGUUAAAACAUCUUUAGCAAACAUAUUCAAAGUUAAUCGUCUUCUAUAAUCCAAAUUAAAAUUUUCACUUCUCACUUUGAAAUAUAAACAUUCUUAAAUGGUCUUGUUAAUCAUUACUCCGACCCCAAAAACCAUUACAAUAAGGUCAAAACCUUAUAAUGUCAUCUCAUGCUAAUGUAUAUUUGUACACAAAUGUUCCUUCUCAAUCCAAUGAAUCUCUUUUUUUACUCCACAUUGGCAAUCCACAAUAGUAGAUUAAGAGUUUAAAAGAAGACAUUACAUAGACAACUAGACAUGCAUUGCCAUUACUACAACACGUUUUCACAUACUAACUUCGAUUCCAAACUACCACGAAUGCAAUUUACCAUUGCUUCUUAUUUACAAUUUUCUUGAGACUCCUUCAUUUUGAAUCCAUGUCUUCUCCUUCCUCGCAUUUAUCAAAACACAUUAAAAGCCUGUUUUUAGAAUUGCCGACAAGGAAAAAAAAACUAUUCUACACUAAGCCACAAAAAUAACUUAAAACCAAAAUAAAAACAAAAGGAAAGUGAUGCUUAGAUUGCGAUGUGGUAGGGACUCGGUGAGGGUUUUGGAAGAGCAUGACAAAAGAUCCGUGCCAUUGAUCUCUAUUAACACACCAAAAGCUUCUUCUUCUUCUUCCUCUCGUCUCUAAAAAUCCUUCCUUUCUUUCUGGGUUUUCUCGAAUCUUCAUCUCUCAUUCAAACCCACAAGUCCGAUCUCGCGAUCCAAACACCAUGGAAGAGGUUGAAGAAGAAGUGAGACGAAUCGUCGAACAAGUUAAAGAGCUUCAUGACUCUUCCACAUCCUUCGUCUCUUCUUCUUCUCAAGAAGAGCUUUCUCUCCGUAACAGAGCCUCCGUCGUUGACUCAUCAAUCCGCCGUCUUCAUUCUACUCUUGCCUCUGACAAACAUCUCGAUCCCAAGCUUUUCGAAAAGGUUAAUCUUUUAUAACCUAUCUCUCUGUCUCUGUUUUUCGAUUUCUCCGAUUCUUAAUUUUGUUCUCUUGUUACAGCUAGAAGAGGAUCUGCAACGAGCUAGAUGCAUGCUUGCAGAUGGAGACACUUCAUCGUUUCUUCCAUCUAAACCUCAAGGUUUCGAUAAUCAAAUCUCAGAUUCAGUUUUUGAUUUAAAGGAAUAAACUUUGAGUUCUUUUGUGUUAUGAUUGGAAGCAGGACGUUUUGUGAGAAUGUUUUUGGGACCUGUGAAUGUUAGAGCUUCACGAAAAGAUAUACAGCUUAAAGUUAAAGAAGAAUAUAAUAGCUACAGAGUUAGUGUUUUGCAUUUUUCCCACAUUAAUGUCGUUGGUUGGUUGGAUCUUUGCUUCAAUGUCGAAUGAAUCUGUGAAAUGACUUGUCUUUUCCAUGGAAACAGGAUAGGACAGCUCUUCUUUUUCUUGUUUUCCCUGCAAUACUUUUGACACUAAGAUCUUAUGUUUGGGAUGGAUGUUUGCCUGCAUUCCCUGUUCAGCUCUACCAGGUAUAUAAUUAGGUUUGAAGUUGUGUUGAUUUGAGUUACUUAAGUUUUGUUAUGUGUUUUGUAUUAAUAUGUGAACUUCCUUUGAUCAGGCUUGGCUACUGUUUCUUUAUGCUGGUUUGGUUAUGCGAGAGAACAUUUUAAGAGCUAAUGGGAGUGAUAUCCGUUCAUGGUACUCUUAUCAUAUUCCUCCUGAGUUGAUUAUAGUUGUAUUGAUCUCUUAAGUUGUGGUUGGCUAUUGUUAUGCAGUGUUUUAAAUUUGAAGUAUGCUAGGUUGAUGCAGUUGUUAUGCUAUUGCUGAAAGUCACAUGAUAUAAAGUUUGGUAGAGUGGAUCGUUAGGUUGUGUUAGGCUACACUGAUUUUAGGCUCUAAAUUCAUUAGGUUAAUCCUAACUUUGAAUGCAUGGUUCAUUUUCUUUUGGAUCAUCUCUCUUUCCUAUAGUUAGAUCAUGUGUGCCGCUAACUCUCCUUAUUCGCUCUUUUAUGACUGCCUGUGGCUGUGAAAAAUUACUAUUUACUUUAGGUUGUUAGUUUGACUACAAGAAAUUCAUCAAAUCAAUUGUCGCUGCCUCACUGGUCAAUGUUUUGCUACCCGUUGUGUUUUGCUCUGUUUUUGGCACCUCUUAAAGCCUAUACUGAUUGCACUGCUGAAUGACGGGCAUCCGAAUUUAGUGGAUGAUAGGAAUUUCUAUAGGCAAUGUAAUGCAGAAGGUUGCGCAAAGUGACUUUCCUAUAAAAUGUCUCUUGUUUGGUAUCGAAUACAACUAUGGGAGUGCUGUUACAGAGGAGAGGUAGCUUAUUUUUGUUGUCAGUUAGAAAUUAGAUCUUUAUAUCAUGUAGAGAAUAAUGAGAAACUUUUUGGCCGUCCAUAAAGGCCUUAGUGGGUUGAUGAUUUGGAUCUGAAGUUAUCUUAAUGUAUAUAUCCUCUCAAUCGAAGAUGACUAAAACCUCUUCAUUGAUAUGCUUUUGCAGGUGGCUUUAUCAUCAUUAUUUUGCAAUGGCUAUGUCCCUUGUCAGUCUCACUUGGGAAAUCAAAGGUCAACCAAACUGCGUUCAGAAGCAGGUAUUGGGUAUUAACUUAUUAUCAUACAUGCAGAGUAAAAUCUAUCCAACAAAUGUUAUAGAUUAUUCUAAAUCUAUUGCAGAAAGGAGUGCGUCUUUUCCUCCAAUGGGCUAUGAUGCAAGGUGUCGCGAUGCUUCUGCAAAAUAGAUAUCAGCGCCAAAGAUUAUACACUCGCAUUGCACUUGGAAAGGUGCCAUACUAUUUACAUUUUUCUCUCUCCAAAUCAUAUCCACCACUAUGAAAUUGCUGUAAAAAUGUGUGUGGUGGUCAUUUUCAGGCUAAAAGGAUGGACGUCGUAUGGGGAGAAACGGCUGGAGUAGAUGGGCAACUAUUGCUAUUAUUUCCUAUUUUGUUCACUUUACAGGUAACAGUUCUACUUUUGUUGCACAGAAGGCUAUGCUAAAGCAUCUUUAAGCUUCAUAUUUCCUUCAUAAGACCAGGCUUGUGUAAUUAGCUGGUGAUUUGUAGCUAUUAUUUUUAUACAUGGCUUCCAUAAGGAUAUACCUAAAACUCAAAUAUGGCUUUGAAAAUAUUUACUAAGUAAACAAAACUUCAUGAUGUCCUCUUAGACUUGUAAGAUGAUCUGAACAAUGAAUGAUCUUUGCUUGCUCUCACCAGUUCAAAGGAAACUUCAGACUUAUUCUAAGUUCAUAAGCUUGUUUAUCAUACUGUAGUUAAACAUGUUUGUAUUCUACUAUGGAAACUCAGGGCUUUGAAGCAUACGUGGGAUUCCAGUUGCUUAGGACAGUGUUGAUGGGGGUAGUCGCUGAAUGGCAGGUAUAAGUCUCUCUUCCGGCAGCACUUGCGCAGUAUCUCCUCUGGUUUAUUCAUGCACCAAUCUGACAAAAAACAUAACAUAAUGAUGUAUACAAUAGUAGAAUAGAUAUAAUUGAUACUGAAAACUCAAUGUCUUGUUGGUUUUGUUUCUCAUUUCCAAACAAGUAACAUAUCUUAAAUAUGCAUCAAGUAUCAUACGGUUUAUCACAAUGGUUUUCUAAUGAUAACGUGAAUGCUGGGGCAGGUAUUGGUUUGUGGCAUUCUUCUGGUUGUGAUGGCCAUUGGAAACUUCAUAAACACAGUAGAGACACUAAUGGUGAAGUCGAGAUUCAAGGCGAAGAUGAAGAGAAGUAAAAGCAGAGCAGAACUUUGAUUAAACUUCCUAACUUAUAUGACUACACCUUUAUAGUUUCCAACUGUGGAUCUUUCUCCCCAUUAUUUGCUUCAGUCGAUAAAUUUUGUUUCUUGGGGCAAAAGUAACCUAAGUCUGAAAAAAAAAAAAACAGGGAGUGCCCUUUGUUUGUGUAAAUGGAAGUUGGGAUUUGAUAGUUGAUUGAUUAAACUGUGUUUUGUAAACUUUUCAACUAACACUUGUUCGGUUUCCAAUGAUCAGAUUUUCAUAAAAUGGUGUUGAAAUUAGAUUUUUAUCUUUGUCUUAGUGCUUGGAACUUGACACUACUAGUUUGAAAAAGGGUACCUUCCUAGUCAAGGUUCCCAAUCAACAACUAAACAACUAAAGGAUUCGUUUUUUUUUUUUUGGGUUUUACCAAAAAUUUCCGGGCCUAUAACUGUAGUCUAGUCUCCUCAGCCUUAAAAAACUUUUGGAUGGUCAACUAGUACACCGGUUAAUGAAUGGAGAUUUAAUUAGAGUCUGAAUGGUAACUGCGUUUUGCGGUGUGGUUUAAAUAGUAACGAAAAUACAUAAAUAUAUAUAUAUAUAUAUAUGUAAAGAUUUUGAUAUUUGUGAUGCGGUUUUGAGUGCGGUGUAUGUCACCAUUCAUGACCUUAGUCUCUUCAAAAGAUUAAAGACAGAGAGAACAUUAAGGUUUUGUAGACAAGAAAAGAAAGGCAAAGACUAAUCAAAAAGGAAACUACAUGUGAUCACAGAUCUUAAUCUUUGAGUUAAUGGUGAGAUCACAUGUUGGCUUUCUUUUUUUAGGUUACUCUCAAUAUACGUAAUUAAAAUAAAAUAAAGAGAGAUAGAAGAAAGUGUAAUUUAAUAAGAAAGAAAACAAAACAAAUGCACAUGGGUAGGACAGGCUCAUUGGUGUAUUUUAUACACAACAAAAUACAUUGUAAUAAUAUCUUUUGUAUAAUUAGAUACAUACAUUUUAUAUGUAUAAAAUGAUUGCACGUUGGGGCAGCUGUGUUAAGACACAAAGAGGUGAAAGCAAGUUGGCAAUCAAAGUGGUACUUACUCUUUCUUACCUGUACCCAUUUCCUCCAUUAUUACUCUCUCUAUCAAAAAGAUACAGAAUCUUUUCUUUUUCUUCUUCUUCUUUAUUUUUUUUUGGUGUGAUCAUGCUGUCUCAAUCCAUCUUUCUAUAUUCUCAAACCAUUAUUUUUAUUUUGUAAAUUUACACGAGUAGUUUUUUACUUUUUGAUACAGUUUUUUUGAAGGUAAAGAAAAAAGUUAUAGAAAAAAAACAGAGAGAUGAAAAAUGAGUUAACAUGAGAGUGGCACGAGUCUUGUCGUUGUAAGUACAAAAGCCUGCACAUGCUUUUGAUUGUAAGAAAAAUAAAGUUUGAAACAAAAGAACAAAACUUUGAGCGACCCUGUUUAAUUGAUAGUGACACCAAAAAUGAAUAAUGGCUUAUCGGAUUGUUUUUGUGGGCGCCGCAAAAAGGAUUAAACAUAAAAACACACAGAUUCUCUCUUCUUCUUCUCCUCUCAAUUACUUAUGGCUUUGAGUCUCAGUCAAAAAAGCAAAGUGAAUAAACCAAUCUUUGUCAUAUAUCAAUUCAAAUAGUAGUAAUAAUCAGUCAUAUAUGUUUAUCUUUGUCUGAUAAACUAAAUGAUUCUAAUUCUUACCUUAAAGGAAGAAAAAAUAAAAUAAAGACUCUUUAUUCCCCAAUUAACCAAUCAACAAAUGUUUUAAGAGAAAAAAAAAAAGUGUGAGACUUGCUGAUGAAAUUACAACUCCAAAAUAAUCUAAAAGACCUUUUAGCUAGAGUUUUUUGUUCAUGUGGGGGUUGGAAGAAGAAAACAAUGAACAAGAAGAAACAAACAAGAGACAGUGAGAAAGAAAAGAACAAAAGGGAAAGAAUGUGAAAAAGAAUUGUAUUCACUGAAAAAUCGAAGAUCGAUGAGACCUUGAUAUUUCAGUUUGUGGUGUCAGAUGUGUGUGUGUGUGUGUUUGUGUUUUGUGUUUUUGGGUGUUUUGUUUAGAAAACUAUGCACACAUAAGUACAUUUUCUUGAAACAAUGAUUCUGAUUUUACUGAACCAUUGUCAAGAAAGGUGGUUCCGUAUGGCCAUUGCCUCCUCUGUUUGCAGGGCUUUGAAACGCAAUCUCGAAAGCCGCGGACUUCUCAUCCUCGUCUAGUUCUUCCUCAUCCAUUUCCUGAUCUUCCUCUUCCUCCAUGUUAUUAUAAUUGUGAGACUCUUCAAUCUUUUCAUACUCACCUAUCAUUGAUUCUUGUUGUUGUAGUUGCUGUUGUUGUUGAAUCAGCUCUCUCAUCACAAGGUCUUCUGGCUUCAAUUCCAACAAAUCAUAUUUCAGUUAUCAAAGAACAUUAAACCAAUCACAUUUUGACAAGGAAAAGCAAAGUUUGUACCUUUUCUGUUCCUUGUGGACUUUCCUCUAUAGGCUCUUCUUCCUCAGUUGAAGCUGACCCAUGAGUUUGUUGAACAUUAACAAGUCCUUCUUGUGGCGGUUUCAUCGCAGUGACCGGACUCUGUUUUUGGUCUUGAGGUAGACCAGAAGUGCUAGAACCACCGCCACUACCGAGUACUUUGUUGCGGUAAAGAAGAUCGAGGCGGUGAAAGUAAGGACAAGUCUUAGCAUCUUGAGGACGUUUCUUGUUGCUUUCUUUAACUUUCUUGUAGUAUUUGUUUAUGUUUUCCCAUUUCUCUUUACAUCUCUUAGCGUUUCUGUUGUAUCCCAUUCUCUUCAUUGAAGUUGAGAUCUCUUCCCAUAGAAGUCCUUUAGGUACAUUAUCUUGGUACCUUGGUUCCAUUCCACUUCUCAGGUUUAUAAGCGCUAGAAUCUCUGCCUUUGGCCAUCUUGAUGAUGAUGGUAAUGAUGAUUGUUCCGAGCUCAUGACCAUCUCUUGUUGUGGUUGUUGUUGUUGUUUCUGUUCUGGUUGAUGAGCGUGAGGAUGAGAAGGAGGAGGAGGAGGAAGAAUUUGUUGUUGUGGAAUCGCCAUUAUUGGUUGUUGUGAUUGAGAUUGAGCUGUUGAUAAUGGUGGUUCCGCCACACGUUUAGUGACCGCGGGUGGCGGUUGAUACGGUGGAGGCGGUUGAGAUGACAAAGAAGGAGGUAACUGAAUGGUAUGGCCAGUAAUUUUCUGAAUCAAUGAAAUGAUUGCGGCGUCACGAGAAGCAGAGGCGGCUCGUUCUUGAGACAUGACCUCGUGUUCUCGAGCUAACCGAGCCAUUUCUUGACGUUUCCAAGCUUCUUCACGAUCAAGACGUUCUUGCUCUCUCUUCUCAAGAGCUUCCAAGAAACUCCUUUGCAUAGCCGCUUGCUUUUGCAUUACUUGUCUCACCAAACCUUCAAACAAUUCCAUCAUUUUACCGCCUCCACCGCGGUUUCCACGUUUGCGUUUUCGGCUACUAGAACCCGCAAUGUUAGCCUGAUCAACGUCCAUAUCGUCGUCAUCAUCAUCAGACCCCAUUCCUGAAGCCGUCGAUGAGCUAUGAGACGAGAAAGUAACACCGGUAAAUAUCGGACCCAUUGAAGGAAGUGGAAGAGGUGGUGGAGUAGGAGUAAAAGAGACAUUAUGCGUUUGAGGCGGUUGCGUUUGCGUUUGCGGUUGCGGUUGAGAGAAUACGGGAAAUGGAGAAGAAGAAGAAGAAGGCAUGAGAAUGGGAUUAGCGACGGAGAGAGGAGUAACGUCGAGGGAAGAUGAAGGAGGAGUAGUGUUGAGAGCUUCAAGCUGAGAGAAGAACUUGUAAGCUUUACCAUCAUGACGACCACCGCGAGUUUCUUUAGUACGUUUGUAAUAUUUCUGAACGUUUUCGAAUUUCUCUUUGCAUUUCUUUGAACUUCGUUUGUAACCUAACUCCAAUAGCUUCCUGUUUCCAAAAACAUGAAAAUAAUUCAGAUUCUCUAGUUUUAUUUUAUUUUUGGUUGUCGUUAUUAGCUGGAAAAUUUUUAUGGUUACUGUUCGAUCGGAUUUUUUUUUUUUUUUUUUGGAAGUAAAGAGAGUCUUGGGAUUUUCAAAAUCGAAAACGUCCCAGAAACUCAUGAACCAACUUCUGUAAUAAACAAACAGUUCUUUUAAUUUUUCUUGGGGAUGGUGAAGAUGCUUUGAUCUCGAAUAUAUUACUAUUUAUAUAUACCUAACACUAAAAAAAAAAAGUUAACAAAAAAAAAACACAUGCAAAUGGAUCUCUAUCAAGAAACACCAUUGAUGAAAAUGGAAGAGAAGAGAGGAAGAGAGACCUGGAAACAUGUUCCCAAAGAGGAGCUUUGAGAGUAGCAUCACGAAAAGUAGAAUCCAUAUCGGAUCGGAUCCGAAGAAGAGCUAAAGUUUCUUCUCUCGGCCAUCGAUUUCCCGAUGAAGAAGAAGCACUUCCUCCUCCUCCUCCUCCACCUCCACCUCCUAAUCCACCGUCAUCCGCGGCGGCUGAGAAUCUCAUAAGCUCUUCUAAGUUGUUAGCAGGAGGUCUUGAACUAAUAGGUGAAGCUUCCUCCACAACUUCAUUACCACCACCACCUCCUCCUUGCUCCAUCAAUCUUGAUGAUGUUUCAAUCUUUUUCUACACACACACUCUCUCUUUCUCUCUAGCUCCUCAAUGUUUUUUGAUAUAAAUCUCAUAAAACCAUUGAUGAUGAUGAUGAGAGAAAUAAGAAAGAGAAGCAGUCUUUUUUUGUUUGUUUAAACAGCAACUAGGAGGGGUCUGAAGGAGAAAGGAGAGGAUUACGAGGAUGAUGAUGAUAGAUAGAGAGAAAGAGAAUGAAAGCAAACAAGAAGUUAAUAAAGCUGAAGCCUCUUCUAACUUUGCAGCAAAUUAUUGUUAAACCCACUUUUCUUCACUCUCUCUUUUUCUUUAUUUAUUUUAUUUUCUUCCUUCUUUUAUAUUAUUUAGAAAAAAAGGUCCACAUCUAUUUAAUUAAAUCCAAUUUUAUGUGUAUUAUUAUUAUUGUUAUAAAGCAAAGAGUAAGGAAGGCUUUAAAAGUUAAAUUUGGAUCCGCAAACAUCUCAUUGCUCAGUGAUCCGAUUAAAUUGUUUUUGGGUAAAAAUUGUGUUUUGGAGAAAUAUAAUAAACACAAAAUCAUGUGCCUCCCAUGUUGUUGUCCUCUCCCACCAUCAUGUCUAAGGUGUCCACGUGGCGUUGUCUGAUUGGUAGGGUAUGUGACAAUCAGAUUUUUGGGGAAAGGGAGGGACAGAAUUGGAAUUUGAUAAUAGUUUUUACCCGAUUUGAGCUGGACCAGCCUUGACAUCUUUCCCCCCACUCUCUUUCCUCUCCAAUUCAACAGUUUCUUUCUCUCUUUUUUUUUGUUAUUGUGUAAAUAAUACAUUUAUAGAAACAUAUCAAACAAUAGUGUUUUAGUGAUGUCAAGAAAAGAAAAAAAUAGUAAGUCCAAAGCCAGUGAAAUUAUUUUAUGAAUCAUACAUAGUGCAUAAUUAAUUAACAUAACCAUGUAAUUUUAAACUCGGAACUAUCUUGGCAGGUCGGAUCGAUAACCUGACCCAUGCAUUAGUUUAUGCGAAGCCAAAGCCAAACCCACUCACUACCAACACUAUAACAGAUUUCGUUUAUGUCAUUUUAAACAUACUUUUUACUGAAUUUGCAGCGAAUUUAGCAUACAUGAAUUGAUAUGAUGGCUUGGUCACGAUAACAAAGUUGCUAGACUCAUUUGGACGCUACAAUUUUACAAGUGAUUCUUGUAUGUUGGCAUAAUUUGGAAUCAAGAACAUGCAUGGUCUGCAAAAUCCCAUAAAUAAACAAACGUGACGUCAAGUGAUCUUUGAUAUGUUCUUUGAAUUUAUUUUUUUCUCCAAAAAAUAAGACAUUCGUUUAGUUAAAUGUUGAUAGCUUGACAUCGCUUUUUUUUUUAGUAACUCGUUUGGUUUUUAAUUAAAAAUGAAACUGUUAAUUUCCUUUGCACAUAUAUAUGUGAAUCAAAACAAAAGUCAAGAUGAUGAUUUUAUGUAUUGGUGGUAACCAGAAUUUUCGACAAAAGUACAAGAUAACAAACUAAUAAAGAAACCUUAUAACAAUUAGGUGAAAAAUAAUGAAAAUAAGUACAUUUUUUGAGAUAGUAAAGCUGUGGUGAAGAUAGACAUAAGUGAUCAAUCAAAAAUUGAAUAGCCUCAUAUCUAAAAUUAGUUGCAAACUCAAGACAUCGAUGCAGACACUCAUACUAUCACAUUAUACAACUCUUUAAUACCUCUCACCUACACAAACAUACACAAAAUAAAAAAAAAACUCAUUUUCAUUACCAAAUCACACUCUACACAAAAACACACCGCUCAUUUCUAGUUAUACACAAAAAAGGAAAACAAACUAUUUCCUUCUAACAACAAAAUGAAAGAUGCUAAUUAAUAAUAAUGGUUAGAGAAGAAGGUGAAGAAGAAGAAGAAGGUGGGCGGUGGAAGUGGAGAACUUUCUUGAAGGGGAAAGAAAGAGAGAGAGCGGCGGAUACACAGCUGUCUUCUCUUCUUCUUCCCCCCACUUUCACAUGCCUCUCCUUUUUCACUAUAUUUAUUACUUAUUACAUGUGAUAUGUUCUUUUUUUUCCUAAUUAUACAACUUUAAUAUUAGUACAAGUAUAAUAAGAAUAUAAUUAUACGAGGUGGUAAGAACAUGCUCACGGAGUUUCCUUCCUUGAUUUCUGACUGAAUGAAUCUCUCUUUUUACAUAAGAGAUCUAGAUCUCAUGAGGGAGUUUUGAUUAAGACUUUGAUUAACACACUAAUCUUAAACACACAAAAGCAACGUCUCUCUCUACCAAUAAAUCUAAUCUUAUUAGGACACAACAAGUUGUCAAACUCAUUACUUUCCCAACUUGUGUCAUACGAGGACUUACCAAAGAUAACGAGUCAACAUCAUUUUGACGGGGUCACAAAACAAAUUUAUAGUUAAAAUGGUCCAGCGAUAUUUUUUUUUGUAAUUCCAUGAAUUUUCACACCCACGUAAAAUCCAUAUUCCUCCUCUCACAAAUAUAUCUACAAUUUCAGUGGCAGCCAAAUAAAUAAAUACCUCACAAAGUCAAAAUCCAAAGAAUUUACUUACACUACUAACUCACCAAAAAUCUAACUCGGGGCUAUUUUGAUCAUUGCAUUAACUAUAUGACCCCCUUUAAAUAGAAGCCAUGAUGCAUCAUAAUGUCAAUUUCAAGGCUUACGACAAAACAACUAGCAAAACCUGGGCUCACUUUGCCAGUGUGUCAGAGAGUUCAUGACAAGUCAACUCACACCACAACACUCUUGAUUUUAAACCCUUAGUUUUAGAACACACACACACAUCUUAAAAAUCUAUCCAACCAAAGACCUUUCCUUAAAUCCGCACUAAAUCCACAAUCCUAUGGACCACUUACCUCACCCUCUACUAGUGGAUAUAUUCUUCUUUAAUAUAUUUAACCCACAAAUAUUUAUGUGGCUAUAUCAAGAUUGCCAAUGUAGUAGAUAUGGAAAAAACAAAACAAAACCAUUCUUACUUAACACACAGAUGGAUAGGUUUCACUGGUAAAGAUUUGUUGUUGUACACAUUACACUCGUUUCUCAACAGGAAAUGUUGAGUUCGUGAAAUCUCAGAUGUACAAAAAAAGAAAGUGGAACAUGGAACAAACAAAAGAGUGACAAAUUCAAUUUUGGGCAUAUUAGCAUUCUAGGUCAGACAACAGUCAAGGUUCUGGAUCUUACCUAUGUACAAGUACAGGAUAGAGCUGAAACAACAUGCUUAGAGAGAUCCAGUAUUCACCAUAAGUGUUCAUUGAGAACUAAUCGUGGAACCCAAAAUUAUCUUACCACACUGCCCAACUGUUAAUCUGAGAGGCUCGUUAGUAGUAGUUGGGGUUGCUCUGCAACACAACCGUCUCGGCGCCUGUCGUUAAGAAGAGUGGAGAAUCAUCAAUUAGCAAAAUCAUAAAGAAAAUGACAGAAACAUUAGGUGAUAAAAAGAUAAACAAGAAAACCUCACCAAGUGCCAAUUUUUACUCAGAGGAAACCCUGAGACCUGGAUUUUAUCCACUUUGUGCAGAGGUAGAGAGCGUGGAAAACAUAGAAGCUUCGUCUUCAAAUCAUCCUUUACCAAGGAUCUUGAGUACGUUCCAAGUGUAGCAUUACCUUCUUGGCCAACCUCUUUCAAGAAGAAGAGGAUAGGCUUCUUACAGAGAGACGAAAUUGGAAGCUUUAUGUCAAGAUCAAACUCACUGGGUUGACUUAUCCCGUUCCAAGCAGAGAAAGAAAGUUCAGCUCGCUCAAGAUCCCGUGGUAGGAGAAUACUUGGGAAAACUUGUACAACAUAACCAAGAGAUAUCGCAAAUGUCAGUUUGUGAGUAUGAUCAUAGCAGAUCGAUCGCUGCAAAACACUCCUAGGAUCCAAACUCAUAGCUCUUGUCAAGAGUUUCAAACUAUCUAAUGUAGAUAAUCCCGGAUAGAGAGGAUUAACAGCUUCAACGUGAUGAAUUGAGACAAAUGGUGCAAUAGGAUGAGAGGACAAGAGACCAUGAGCAUUUCCCUUAAUAUCCCACUGUCACAAAAACCUAACAUUAGCAUUAUCAUCAGAUUGAAGAUCCAAGAGAUCAUAGAAGCAGAGAUGAUGAAACAUACCUGGUGAAAGCCAGGCUCUCUGGACAAAGGAACUCCGAGUUCAGUGAUGCAGGCGUGGAGACGAUCAUCACUACCGUAUAGCUUCGGGUAUCUAUCGAGACAAUCGUCGUGAAUCCGGGAGAGAGCUUCCGCUAAAGGGUAGCUAAUGGCAAUGCCACCGCCUCCAAAAGCCAUGUUAUGACUAAAGUAAGAGUUAGCAGAGUGGCUCUCCGAGGGGUUUCCAAUAUAAACCAUCUCCGAAGGAUCAUACUUGCUUAACACAGCAAGAAGAUUAUGAACAUUGAAGAUAGUAUCAUCAUCACCAAGAACAAACCACCGAACAUUAGGGAGAGAGAGACGAAAAGACUCCAUAGCAAUACGAGAGAUUCGAAGUCCAGAAGGAUGACCAGUAGGAUUAGUGUAACGAAAACGAGAGCUGUCUUCAGAGACAAUUAUAGGAGGAAGAGAAUCAUCACCUUCCUCAGGAGAAACUUGCUCUUCAAGCCAGACAUGUCCACGCAUCUGAGAAGGUUUCCACCAUAAUCUCACAAGUUCCUUACGACGUUCCCAAAGCUGUGAAGAUCCAGCAAUACCAAACAUCAAGUGAUUCAUAGACAGAUCAAGUUUAUCAAUCUCUGAGAGACUACGAUUUCUAAAUUCAUGAUCGAAUAACGGAAGAGCUGGAAGAGACGGCGGCGACGGCGGCGGCGGAGGAGGAGUUACAAUUGGAUGAUGGUACCGUUUGUUCCAGAGAUGAUUGUCUUCCCAAUCUUUAAGAAGAUGCCAACAACGGGAAGUGGUUGGUGAGAAGACGAGAGAAAGCCAAGCGACGGAAGCGAGAAGAAGAGCGGAGGUAGCGACUAAUGCGGUGGCGAAACGACUGAGACGACAAGGACGGAUUCGAGGAGGAGGACGAGAGAUUGGGGAAGAGCAAGGACGGUGAGGAGAAGAUGAAUAAAGGUAAGGAAUGAAUGAGCACAUGACGGUGAGAAUUAAACGCAUCGCCCCAAGCGCACAUUUCCGCCGCCGGGCGACGCAGAACGGCGGCGAACCAAGUUUCCGUUUAAAUUAGGGCACAGGGUUUCGAUCGCCACCGUCGUCUCGUUUUUUUCUCUCUCUCUUCUUCUUCCUUUCGCCGUCGCUUUGACUUUUCAGGGGUUUGAUUUUGAUUUUUCAAAAUUUAGGGGCGGAUUUUGGUAAGAAAAGUUUUUGCCUCGGUGAAUGGGCUUAGAUCUAAUUUAGGCUUGUAGUAAUCGGGCCUAAUAUGGGCCCAGUAUGGUACAAAAGAUUCUCAAACAUCACAGUCCGGUGACCCCAAUUUAUGUACACUUCAGUUCCCAGGUGGCAUUUGGUUGUACUAUCGGAAAGCCCAACAACCGUCACUGUCAUGUCAGAAUUCAGAUUCGUUAUCCCAUCUUUAUUAUCCUUUUUGUUUUUAUUUAACUUUGAAAGAUGACUACUUUUUUUCGAAGAAACGCUUUUAUUUCUAAAUUCUUCUAGUAUCAUUAUUGAUGGUUUCUUAAAACAAUUAUUAAGUUAAGAGACAUGUCUUAUAAUAGCUUAUAACUAACAAAAGUCUCUUAAAACACUUUUGUUAGAUAUAAGAUAUAUCUCUUAACUAAGAGUUAUGUUAAGAGACCAUCAAUAAGGAUAGUCUAACGUUUAUUAUGAAAACAUAUAAAAACCUACGAUUUCAGGGUAUUAGAAUCCGUCAAAUCUGUUUAUAACUUUUUGAACUUUAAGUUAUGUUGUUUCAAGAAUAUAGAUACAGAUCAAUAAACAUAAAAUAUAUGUUCACUUAACUGAAUAAGUAACAAAUAGAAAAACCAAUUUUUACAGAACUGAAAACUUACUUUAGGAUUUUUUCUCCUUCUAGUAAAAACAACGUAUAAAUAGCCUCUACAAUAAUAUACAAAGCUUUCUAUAGGUUUCUAUUUUUACAUGAUACAAUUGUAGAUCUCUGUUUUAACACCGUAAAGAGAUUCUAUUAAACUCUACUUUGAAAUUCUUACAAAUUGAUUAGAAAAAAAAGAAGAUGAGAAUCUCAAUUUUUCUCUCAUUUACUUCUUUUGUAUUGUUCUUCUUUCUUGUUUCUCUUUCUCUUUGUCUCUACAUCGUCACGUUUUUAUACAUUAUUUAAACGAUGUUUGAUCUAAAAAAUGUUUCUUAUCUCGGUCGGUAUUUUUCUAAUCGAUAUAAAUGUAACUAAAAAACAUAAUGUAUUUUGCACAAGUAGAAGAAGAUUUACAUAAACACAAAUGUUCAUGUAAAUAAACACCAAUAAAUUAGCAUGUAAUUUUAUACAUAGAAAAAAUGUUUAAAAAUCACAAAAAAACGAAAAAUAAUAUAAAGUUUGGAUGCAUAAUUUUUAUUGUGUUUAUUUAUGAGAACUCGUGUUCGAGUACAUUUUUGCGUUUAUUGUAAUGAUCAUUUGUUAUUGUACACAGAUUGUAUUACAAAUUAGUGACCAACAUGGAGUGUUUGUUUCCCCAUCCUCAUCUCCCUCUGCCACGAUAUAGCUAUAGCUAGCGAUUGUUUGUGAUCUUCAAUGAAUGGUUUUAGCCCUAUACAAAAUUAUAAAGGUUGGCUGAAUUCUAUAAUCGGACUACUCAUCGAGUUUAUAUCACUAGGGGUAGUAAAUUUAUCAAACAACCUAAUGUAACAUGAUAUACAUAUUAUUAGCCGAUGACGGUAUGACAUAUAAAAACCUAGUUACUCAUGUUAAUUUCAGAUUUUUUUUUUCUACUUCUUGAUUUAGAAUUCAAUGAGUUAAUUCCCCACAUUAAACAAUACAUCGGUAUUUCCGAAAAAUAACUCUGCUCACCUACUCGUUGUUGUCUUAUAAAUUUAUUUCUCGCAACUCAUAAAAAGGACCGCACAAAUUACGAUGAGAAAUGUAUGUGAAGAAUGAUAUAAUUAGAGAAAUCAUAGCAUUGAAUUGUUAAUAUCACAUUAAAUUAAAAUGUAGCAUGAAAAAUGCGUCGGUGAGUGGUUGGGUAUAUUGGGGUCAAUUUCAAGAGAAAUUUGUGUAUGUACACACAAAUGUACAAUACUCAAGGCAUAGGACAAGACCACCUUACACGUUUUUUGUAUAUAGAAAACGAAAGACAACGACAUUCCAUCUAACAUCUUUACUUGACGACAUCUUUGGAUACAAAAUUAAUUAAAACUUAGAAAACUAUAAGUGUAUUUUAAUAUACUUGGGACAAUGAUUCUCCCACCGUUUUUUGCCGUUGAAUUAAUGUAUAUACAUCAUUUAUUAUUACACAGUUUGAAUUGUUUAAAGUUUAGGUUAGAGAGUGAAGAACAAGAUACUCGUAUGCAUGUAUGUACUCGUGCAAUCUUAUGUCAGUCUGGUUGGUGGUGGUGCCUAGUUACAUUUUUGGCGAGAGCAUGUGUUUUGUUCUCUUUGAAAAUCAUGACGAAAAGUUGCUUUAGAUAUGAUUGGAUUUUUAAGUCAAGAGAAAUUUACGUCUUUUUGUUAAAAAGAAAAAGCAAACAAUAUUUUUUCAAAAGCAAUUAAUUAGUAAUUACCGACAGAUCGAAACACUGUCAUAAUUUGCUGUUAAAAUCUAUUAGCAAAUCAUUUGUAAACUUUACCGAAUUUGUUGACCAGAUUUCGUUGCUAAUAUUGCUAUGGUUUUUUGUUAUUUUUUGCUUGCUAGUAUUUUCACUAUAUCGACGAAGAAAACCAAAAAGUUUCGUUUAUGCCUCUUUUUACUUCUUUUUUUAAUUGCUAAACCAUGAAAUCUGAUGUGAUAUAUAUCUUGUAAUCUUACGCCACUUUUCUGAUCUCUAGUUUGUCAUGAGCCAUCGAUAAAAUAAGUGAAUGAUGAAGUAAUUAGAUUUAGAGGAGAUAAUGAAUUAUCCCAUCAAAACUCGAAACAUAUAUUACUAUAUUAUAGGAUGUUUAAACCAACCCUUCAAGUUACUUCAAGUUAAUUUCGGUUGCAAGUUUAUCUUCCAAAUCCGAAUUAUGCAAGUCAAUUCCACCAUCUCUAAAAUCACCCGUAAUAUAGUCCUCCCGUAUAGCGAUGACGUGACAUUCGAUAACUCUGUUUAAAAAUAUAAGUGUUUAUGCAAAAAAAACUUUAAUGUAAUUUUUUUUUGCAAGAUAUACUUUCAUGUCAAAUAAAUAGGGAUCAAACCACAAUCUGAAAAAUCUCAUGAAAUAUAGCUCUUUUGUGUAUCGAUAACAUGACAGUCGAUAACUCAUUUAGAACAUGUGCAAUGCGUAGAGAUUUUAAGAGUCAUUUAUUUAGGAUUUUUGAAUCAAUAACUGUAACUAACUAAAAUUUUAUCAUAUUUGUUCUGGUUCGUUUGUUUCUUUCAAAAUAACUAAAAUUAACCAAAUUUAACCGUCAUUAACCAAAAAAAUAUAAAGAAGAAAAUAUUAGAAAGAAAAUUAAAAUUGAGUAUUUAAUUUUGACAAAUAUAACUAACAAUAUUUAGAUAUUUUGAUUAUUCAAAGUAUUUGAUUGUUUUGGUUCUAAAAAUUACUAAUAUUUUGAGUUUUUAAUUAUAGUUAUGGGUAUUAAUUUUGGAUAUUUUCUAAGUUUCUGGAUAUUUUGGUUAAUCGUUUGGUUAUCGGUUCUGUUUUAUUUUAUUUAACACUUAAAUAAAUAACUCAAUUAAAUUAUAUGCAUUAAAGUAAUAUAUUCGAUAGACUUAUAAAAUCUCUAAAUGAGUUGUCGACUGUUAUGUCAUCGAUACACAAAAGAGCUACAUUUCAUGAAAAUUUUCAGAUUGUGGUUUGAUCUGUAUUUAUUUGACAUGAAUGUUUAUCUUGCAAAAAAAAUUACAUUGAAGGUUUUUUUACAUUAACUUUUAUGUUUUCAAACAGAGUUAUCGAAUGUCACGUCAUCGCUACAUGAGAAAAUUGUAUUGUGGGUGAUUUUAAAGAUAGUGGAGUUAACUUACAUAAUUUGGAUUUGAAAGAUAAACUUGUAAACGAAAUUAACUUGAAAGGUUGUUUUGUAAAAAAAAAUUAUAUUAUAUACUAUUGAGUAGAAACGACGCUUAUGAUUCUAUUAAAGAUGUAAUAAGAAUAUGUAUUAGUGAUCGCUUGAUUCCGCUGAUUAUUUUUUUUUAUCUGAUGUUUUACUAACUUUACAUAAAAAUUAUAUUAUAAAGAUAAAAGAGAAAUAAUACAGACUAUUUAAAAAAAAAAAGAUUGUAAUAAGAGAUAAAAUACAAUAUUUUGUUUUGUUUAUAUCUUGAUGUAUCUUACCGUUUUAUCAGUUGAUUACAAUAAAAAAAAUAUAUCUCUUUUUUUUUGUGAGAAAAACUAUCUCUUAACAUAGCGAUAAAAAGUUACGCUAGUUUAUGCCAACUAUCAAUUUUAUUAGUUAUAACUUAUAAAAAACAAAGAUUUUGUGAGUUUUAUCCAUAACUUACCAAAGCUUUCAUCCAUAACUUACCACUCUACAUAAAAUUACAUAUUUUUUUGAAAAAAGUCAUGUGGAGUCUCAAAAGAAAGAAUCUAUUUGCUCAUUUUUUUGUGAUAAAUUCUACAUACCUAGCUACUCAUAUUCAUGAACAUGGUUUCAAAUCUAGAAGUCUUUCUACUUCAGAAAUAAAAUAAAGAAACUAGCUGCUAAGUGCUAACUUCAUAUUUUGUUCUCAAAGAUAACAACUUUAAAACGGAUAAUCUAGCAAGAAAUACUUGAAAACUAGAAAAUAUUAAUUUGGUUUUUUUAUUUAUUUUAUUUAUUAUCAUUUAUUUACGGAACCAACUAUUUUUCUUAAUGGAUAAAUAAAAUGCAUAUUUGUCAAACAAACAAAAUCGAGUAGAGAAAUUAUCUAACACGUGAGAGAUAAUUUACAAAACAAUCCAACAUAUAUUAUGGUCCCCAUCUUGAAACUUCCCAAUUAAUUCGUAUUUGACGGUGGCGUGACAACUUCGAAAGACUAACCAUAAGACCUAGUGCAUUCACUAGUCACUACCAUUCAAUAAAUCUCACAAAUUCUCUUAAAAAUUCGAUACUUUUCAAUCACCUUUCUACAAAAACAAUACAAAACAAAAUCUAAAUACGUGAGCAAAUAAUACCCAUAAAUAUAUGUGUAUUAUUAGCAAUUUGAUAAUAUAAAAAACAAAACGGCAAAAAAAAAAGUGUUUUAAGACACUGAAUCGUAGUGGUUAUAACGUCAGUGCAGCUUCUAAGGAAGGUUUCUUCUUCUUCUUCAUCUUCCUCUUAAUCACAAACUGGUCAAACUCUGCCUCUCUCUUCUCUAAACCCAAACAAAAGAAAAAAACCAUUUUUCUCAUCUUCUUCUUCUUUAUUCACAAACCUCACCAAACACACAUUCCUUAAACCAGAUCUUCAUUCUCCGAUUCUCUUGUCCCUUAUUUGUCUGCUGUUACAAAAACCCUCUUCAUUUUCCCAGAAACCCACUUAUCUUCUUCUUAAAUUACUAUCAUCCUCACUCAAAAGUCUCACACUUUCUCAAAAUGUCUUGUUUCUUAAGCUGUGUCCGUUUCGAAACAACCACCGACAACAACAAACCCACGAGUACAGAAUCUGGUUCUGUCUCCGGUGUUACCUGUUAUACCUGGGAUGAUGUUGAGUCUCUCACUUCCAAUUUCUCUAGACUUAUUGGUACUGGUGGCUAUAGUAGUAUCUACUUAGCUCGUGUGUCUGGUUCUAUCAACGCAGCUCUCAAGGUUCAUGUCAGUAGUCAUCGUCUUUAUCAAGUGUUUAGGUCUGAGCUUGAGAUUUUGCUUCGUCUUCAACAUCCUCACAUUGUUAAGCUUCUUGGUUACUUUGACGAUUCAGGUUCCUAUCCUUCCUCUCUUAAUCCGUUUUUAAAUUCUUGAAAUUCCCUAAUCAAGAACUGGUCCUAGGAAUUAUUAACAUCCAUGAAAAGUCAAAUACUUUAAAGAACAGAGCUUUAUUCUUGUCUUGUCCUAAUUACAAUUCUUUUGUAGAUUCGUUUCACUUUUACACUAGUUGGUUAGCUUUUCCUUGUUGCAAAUUGUUUAUCUUUUGAGUGGAUUCUUAGUGUGAAUCUAAUGUUGUUGUUGUUUUUGUUGUGUAUUUUUCAGAAGAAAGUGGAGCACUAUUACUAGAGUACCUUCCUCAAGGUAACCUUCAAGAGAAGCUUAACCGGAACAGCAAACAAGUGUUACCAUGGAGAAACAGAACCGCUAUUGCGUUUCAGGUUGCGCAAGCAAUUGAACAUAUUCAUGAGAAAUGUAGUCCUCAGAUUGUGCACGGUGACAUCAAAUCUUCCAACAUACUUCUUGACAAACAUUUCAACUCCAAGCUUUGUGAUUUCGGAUCAGCUAAAGUUGGUUUCUCGUCUAUGGUUCAGCCUUCUAAGACGACGUCAACUAUGUCACCACGAUCCAAGCAAGUGAUGAUGAUUGGUUCUCCAGGGUACACAGAUCCUCAUUACUUGAGAACUGGUAUUGCUUCGAAGAAGAUGGAUAUGUAUGGGUUUGGAGUGGUGGUUCUUGAGUUGGUUUCGGGUAAAGAAGCGGUUAGUUCUGAGAGAGGUGAGAUGUUGGUGCAUUCAACAGCUUCGUUGAUACAUGAGAUUCUUGAUUCGAAUGGAGAUAUUGGAGAAGAGAAAGUGAGACAGUUCUUGGAUCCAAGGUUGUCCAGGGAUGGUAGUAUUGAUUUGGAAGAGGUUAAGACAAUGCUACGUGUGGCUGCUUUCUGUCUUCGUAGCCCUCCAUCGCUGAGACCCUCUGCUUCUCAAGUAGUUCAAACUCUUAACAAGAAGAUACCGUCUCUAUCUUUCCUCGGUUGUGGUAAAAAAGAGUGAUACAUAAAACUAACCUGUGUGUUUUAGGUGAUGAGGUUUAGGUAGUGAUUGUGUUGCAGGUCUUAGUAGAAAGAUCUGAAACGUUUGCUGAGAAGAUUGAGUUUCGUUGUAUAGGAGAUUCUGCAAAAACCAAAAAGAAAGAAGGAAGAUUCAAAUUCCUCUUCUGCUUUGUGAUGUGUAUAGUAAUCAAGCAAAACAACAUUCAUGUGAUUUGCAUUUUGUAAGAGUUACUGUGUGGAUGUAUAAUACAAAUGAUUGGAUGAAAUUCGGUAACCGGUUUGGUUAGGAACCAACAAACCGAAAUUACUAUAAAUUUAUCCAAAAUUAAAUCGAGAUAACCAAACAAUUGUACUGAAAUGAACCGAAGAAUAGAUGCGUAGUUAUUGAAAAAGUUGAUAAAACCAAACCAAAUCAAACCGAAUUUGGGAAUAGAACCGAACUUUGUACUCUAUAACCCAAUCCAAACCGAAUCGGACCGAUGAACUAAAUUUUGUUUUGUCAUAUUUGAUCCAUUUCUCUUCACUGACGAGACAAACUCGACGAAGCAAUGUGGUCUCUUGCGCUAACGUUACCAUCUCCGUCUUUGGUGUCGGUGAGGAGCACUAAACUCGGACGAAGUGUUAGUAAUGGUGGCCGGAAUUGGUCGGGACUUACUAAGUUGUCGGAGAAAUCGAAGACUAAACGAGGUAAUGGUCUCUGCUGCAAGGCGGAGCUGUCGGAGCUAGCUCCAGUCGUCUCUGCUACUUAUGGUGUACUUCUUCUAGGAGGCGGUCUCUUCGCUUGUAAGUUACUACUGAUCUCAUAAUUCAAAUUAUUUAUCUGGAUUUUUGGCUCAAUACACUAAAAAAUUUGAACUUUGUAUUCCGAAAUUGAAGAUAGCAAAUCUGGAAGCAAAGGUUCUCUCUUUGGGGGUUUGACCGGUUCUGUUCUUAUGGCAUCUGUACGAUCUUGCUCUCUCUGUCUCUAUUCUUAGUGUUAGUUUCAAGUUACUACAGAGUUAAAAAUCUGAACUUUGUCCUUUGAGGAAGGUAGUUAGGAACUUAGUGCAAUAUUCAGGUCAUUGUUUCUUCUUGAUGUGGUUCUCUUGCAAGCUUUAUUUCAAUUCCUUGACAACAAUGGUGUUUUUGUCUCUUUAGGGAGGGCUUAAGAAACUAUCUACAACAGUUGAUCUGCUAGAAUCUUCUCCUAUUGUUGCAUACCUUAGUUCCUUCAAAACAUAUGAUUGUGUUCCUUUUUACUCUUUGUGCUUUCCAUCUCGGUUUUAUGAUCCACGACUGUAUCACUGAAAGCAUCCACAUCUUCUUGUUCAACUGUUGAAAUGAUUACACUUAUUACUGAGCAUGCCAAUGUUUGAAUUUCUUCUUUAUAGGCCUACUUCCUUACUAAAUCACCAGAGACAAGAGUUCUCGGCGAUACCAUAGGUCUUGGUGCUGCCUUCCUCUUCUCUUCUGUCUUCGGUAAGCUUGACUUGUGAAGAUGUGUUUUGUGUUUGCAUAUAUGCCAUAUGAAUCUCUUCUCGUUGCACUGAAUUUUCUGUUUUUUUCUACAACUUUCUUGCAGGAUUUCGUUUGGCAUCUUCUCGGAAACCAGUUCCAGCUGGUCCACUACUACUCCUUUCCAUCGGCAUGUUGUCCUUCUUUGUCAUGGCGUAUAUGCACGACAGUUUACCUGCUAUAUCCAUACCCGACCCUUUACCUCUACCUUAGCUUAGAUGAGAGCAUGAGGUUGUAACCAGAUAGGAAAGCUCUCAAAAGUAUGAAUCAAGAACAGUUUUGCUUUUGCCCCCACACCAAUAAAUUGCAAAGCUUUGUUUGUGAGGCUAAUGUGGAGAGAAUAAUGUUUCUUUCAGAUAAAGAGUUGUUGCUAAAUUAGAGAAAUAUGCAUCUCCCAUUCAAGAUUUUGUUAAUGGCACUUUUUGAAAUUGAAUGAUCAAUGCUAAAUAAGAAAGGGGGUAAUAAGAGAAAAGUUUGAAUAAAUUUGUGGACAACUCUAUUGAGAAUGGUUUGGUCUUAACAGCGACUCCUCGAAGCACAUGUUAUUUUGAUGAACAAGUGUAUGAACUCCGACUAAAAGUGAUGUACCAUUUACUUUGUUUGAUCUAAGAACUACAACUUUCUGUGACUUUAAAGCCAGCUUCUGGAAAACUAUCUGAAUAUUUUGUACCGCGAUAAUAUAUGGUACUGUUAUAUAGUAUUGAGUUCGUGAGUUCUUAGCUAGUAGGAAUCUCUUGAGCUGUAGGAGUAUCGUCAUAGACCAAUCCCUCAACUGGAUUCAUCUCAGCCCAUGUAGCUGCAUCUGCGUAUCCUAACUCAAACAGCCUCUCCAACACCUCGUCCUCUGCUGGCUCAAGUGCCCAAUUCAAUAGCUGAAGUCACAGAAAAACCAAGAUUAACACACUUACUCCCAAAGGAGAAUGAUCUCAUUAGAAGAAACUGAGCACUUACUUGUCUAGAUGUUGCUCUGUUUAAAGGGUUGCAAUCUGGGCAGAUCUCAAUACCCUUUAGUUUGAAGUUACUAGCGGAAAAAGCACAAACUCGAACCUGAGAAAGAUUUAUACAAUAAGUUCAUUAAGCUCCAUGGAACAUGUUCAGAAGUCAAGAUGGAUGAACAUAUGAAAGGGCUUCCAAACUUUUUAAAAUGCCACACACUCUGAAGGAGCAGACGCAUUAGAAAGAGAGAAUGGGAACAGAACAACACAACAAUUGUGAUCAUACUGUUUUAGCAGCAGCUGUUGGUGGCAUAAACAAUGUCAAGCCUCCAUCAACACAAAGUCGAUUACGGAACAUUGUUGCAGGCCUUGGUGCAAGAUAUCUGCAUUUGUUUUUAAUUCUGGUUGUUAAAGUUUUGUUUUCCGGAUAAACUGAAAGUUUCAAAAGCAAGAGAGUGAUUUACCCUGGAAUAAAAGAAGAUGUGAAAACUGCAUCUAUCAAGUCGCUUUUGGAGUCGAACUGAUCCACUAGAAGACCUCUAGGUCUCCAAAACACUUGAGUGAUGGCAACUACAAUACAGUUGAAUGAUCAACAACGUCAGACCCGAAGACAAGUCAGGCACGAGGAGUCAAAAUUGAAGAAAGAAGACGUAGUUACUCACCACGAAUUCUCCCGUUGGACCUAAUGUGAAUAUCAUCGGGCAGUAACCUCUCCAUGGAUUCUCUAAGGACAGCCUAAAACCACAGCGACUUGUAUGAACAUCUUUAUAAUGUAACUUAAAGCCAAACUCAUCACAGCAACAUUGGUGGGUCUUGUGUUUCACUCAUAAGAAAUUGUUUGAACAAAUUAACAAAGUGACAAUCUAAAGCACAAGACCAACACCUAGGAACUUAUUCAACUCUAUGGCUGUAAAUAUUUGUGAGCACACUGAGAUAGAAGGCUCAUUACCCCAAGACGGAAAGCAGUGCCAUUGCGUCGACAAUCAUAAGCAAGUUCCUUAGUAGCUUCAAGGGCUUCUCGCAUAGUAGCUCCUGAGGUUAUCACAGCACAGACUAUAGCACCAGCAGAAGAUCCUGCUAAAGGAGUAGUUUCCUGAAUCAACACACAACAAAAUCAUGUUCCUUCCUCAAUCAUAACUGUUACUAAAACACACAAAUCCAUGAGAAAAUGAAGAACCUUUAUGUAACCCUUUUCAAUAAGCAACUGAGCAACUCCAAGAUGAUAAGGAAACAAAAGACCAGCAGCAGAGAAACUAAACCCAGGACUUGUAAUGACUCUCCUCUCUUUCUCCGCUUCAACAUCUUUAACCCUUUGUUCCCAUAUCAUCGCUGGCUCAAUCUCAUCCUCAAUUACACUAGCUAUUCUAUCACCAUCAUCAAUCGGCGGCGUCUUUUGAUUAGAACUCUUCAAAAGCCUCGACGCGAUUCCGAUGAAAAGCUCACCGGUGGCAACAGCGAAUGAUCUCUUGUUCUCGGAAUCUGUAGAAAAGUUCUGAUUUUGAGAAGACCCACCAGAGCAGCAUGAUAACCUAAGGGCGAGAAUUCUCGGAGAAAGGUUAAAGCUUUUUCUCGUACGGAGAGAGAUGAAUGGAGUGGAACGGAGAGACAUCGCCAUGGAUUAAUGGGUCACACUCAGAUUAUUUGAGGGUUUUGGGAAUUUCGAAAAGUUAGGGAUUUGAAAAUCACACGAUCAUCGCAGCUCACAAAACACUCAUGAGGAUGUGACUCUAUGGUUUCGUGGAGAAAUUUGUUAACUUUAUAGUUCUCCCAGGAAGCAACGUUUCGCGACAGAGAGAGACUCUGUUGAAUCAAAACUCUGUUCAAUCUGUUUUUGGAGAGAAUCUAAUUUUAAGGACUGAUUUUAAGAAGGUCAAAAGAGUAAAUAUGAUGUGAUUUGAUGAUUUCGGUUUCUGUUUCAUCCAUACCAACUAAAAUUACCAAAAUUGGUAAUGCCGGUCCUAUCGACGAACGAAUUACUUUUUAUUUAUUGAUCCAACAAGAAAUGUCGGCUUCCAAAAGUUUCAAACUUACACUUAUUUGACAAGAAAACAAGAAAAAUUGAGACCUUUUUAGAUGCCAAUGCUUAAUGAAUGACUAAUUUAGUAAGUAGAAGUAGCAAGGAGUACAUAUAAAUAUAUAUUGAGGAUUAGUAUUAGGGAUUUUAUGAAUAUUUUGAAUAGUUUUAUUGGUCAAUUCUGGUUUCCGUUAGAGUCAAUCGAUCAUUGUACCGUAAUUGUUUGUUUAUGGUAUUAACUACAUAAUGUCGUAUAGUUUAUGCAUGUGGUCAUGAAAUACAUAUAUUUCGUGUAUAUAAGGAUACAUUUACUUCGUGUACAUGAGUAUAGUUUGGAUAUUAUUAGCCGUGCAUUUAGUCAAAAUAGGUUUGUAACCAAUAUCAUCUCCAAGCAACAAGACGGUACUGCCAUCAUUUUGAGGAUCCUGAACAAAAAACAUCCAUUCGACCAAGGAUCUCCAGAUCUGCUGAUUGCAAACAUUCAUAAAAAAAAAAUAUUGUUGAAAAAUUAUCAAGAAUGAAAUACUAAGUAAAUUGAAGUACAAUCGAAAACUUACUUGUGUUACUUAGAUUUUCAUCAAAUAAAUCGAUUCCAAAGUCUUUAUCUUCUGAGUCUAAUUUAGACGACAUGACUCGAAUGCUCCAAUUGCGGUUAUCUUAUUACCUAGAAUGAAAUAUGCUAACUCUACUUCACUAGCGAGGAAUGACUUGAUAAAAGGCGCAUCAUUGAUAUUAGGUAUUACAUUCUCUAAAUCACACCACAUCUUUUACUGGAGUUACCAUUUUCGACAAGACAAUUUGAUUUCCGCCAGCUUAAAUCUAGAGUUUUAAUAUACUAUUAAUGAAAAAAAAAUCUUCUUACCAUUAGUUCUUAAAUCAAAAUCUAAGAUUUCUAUUAAACCGGCCCGAUGAUCUUAUCAAGAUAACCAAACCUAAACCUAAAAUUUCUAUUAAACCGGUCCGGUGAUUUUAUCAAUAUAACCAAACUUUAAUCUAAGAUUUCCAUUAAAUCGAUCCGAUCUGAUCCGAUCCUAUCGAGAUAACCAAACUUUCAUCCUAAAUAUAACUUAAUUUAUUGGAAAUUACCAAAAUGCACUGAAAUAAAUGGAAGAAUGCAACACAAUUCGCGAUAUUAUUGGAAAAGUAGAAAACAUACAGAAAUUUUGUUGCACACAACGUAGAUCAUCAUCAUCCGUUGUAUCUUAUAAGUUUAACACCCUUAAAAUAAAUAAUCAAAAUUCACCUUACUCACGAACGUAAUAUAAUUGGUUAGAAGUACAUUAAUCGUAUGUCAACGUACAUAUACCAAUACCAUCACCACAGGUCCACAAGUCUCCCCAUGUGCGAUGCAUGCAUGAGAUUUACCUACUUACUCGUCCGCUUGUUAAACUAACUCAAAAUUCAAAUCCCAUUUUCAUUGAGUUCAUAAAUCCAUUUAUAUAUUGGUUGCUUAAGUCAAUGAACAAUGAAUCAAGGAAUUAAACAGAUUGAAUGCUUGAAAGUUAGACAAACAAAAAAAAAAAUCAGAAAAUAUAUAUCGUAAAUGUCACUAACACAAUUGGUCAAUUGGCCCAUUGUCCACUGCAUGCCCUUUUUUAAAGUUAACUAUCGAAUAAAACUAGUCGAUUUUAAUUAGAUUCAUAUUAAUUGCUAACCAAACUUCACACAUAUACACAAAUGUGGACCGUAUAAUAAGAAUUGGAGUUCCCCAUAUGUAUUUUUUUUCAUUGACGAAAACCUUUGCUUACGGAGCAAUUAAAAUCAACACGGAUUCGUUAUUAAUACCAUGACAUAACGAUAAUUAUAAUUUUGUUUUCCAAAUUCACCGGGAUCAUUCGUUUAAUAGAUGAAUAAAAAACUAGCUAGGGUCAACGUUCACGCAAGUGUAAUACGGCUUAAAUGCUGUGGAAGAGUCUUGAUAUUUCAGCUUUCACGAUAGCUUUUUAAGCUUCUCCGGCGGCGUUGUCACCGGCCGUCAACUUCUUCAUCAUCAUAUACUAUUAAGAUUUGAUUAUUUAAUUUGUGAUAAUAGAGUUGACGAUUACGUGUGUGUAAUCCCUCUUAGGAUUUUCUCUAGGUCUAUAUAAACCUAGAACACGAAGAGUGCUUGAAACAAAAGGCAGAUCAUUGUAAUUCUAUCUAGCUUUGUACUCAAACAAACAUUGAUCAUUUAUUAACCGAACAAUGAGUUCGUCUAACGGAGGUGUACCGCCUGGUUUUCGGUUUCAUCCAACGGACGAAGAACUUCUUCAUUACUACUUGAAGAAGAAGAUUUCUUAUGAAAAGUUUGAGAUGGAAGUCAUCAAAGAGGUUGAUUUGAACAAGAUUGAGCCGUGGGAUUUACAAGGUACGUUCUUUUAUUAAUAAUACAUAUACGAUCCAAUCCUCUAGUUAUAUUAGAUACUAUACAAAAGCAUUUUUUUUUUGUUUUUGUAGAUAGAUGCAAAAUAGGAUCAACGCCACAAAAUGAGUGGUAUUUCUUCAGCCACAAGGAUAGGAAAUAUCCGACAGGGUCAAGGACAAACCGUGCAACCCACUCCGGUUUUUGGAAGGCGACAGGACGUGACAAAUGCAUAAGAAAUUCUUACAAGAAGAUCGGCAUGAGGAAGACUCUUGUAUUCUACAAAGGAAGAGCUCCUCAUGGCCAAAAGACAGAUUGGAUCAUGCACGAGUACCGUAUCGAAGACACUGAAGAUGACCCUUGUGUAUGGAUAUAUAUCUCUUAUUCAUUAGAAAAUUUGUGAAAGUCGGUCGAUUUUUAAUUGAAUAAACCAAUCUAUACAUAAUGCAGGAAGAUGGAUGGGUUGUUUGUAGAGUGUUCAAGAAGAAAAAUCUGUUCAAAGUAGGGAAUGAUGUUGGCUCAAACAUCAGCAAUAAUAGGCUUGAAGCUCGUAGUUUCAUCCGAAGAGAAAGCCCUUACCAAGGAAUCUCAAUGUUUGAGCUUAACAAGCCUGAAGAGAUUAGUGUUCAUCAAUAUCCUCAACCACCAAUGUUUCAACCUCAUCACAAGCCUCUUUCAAUAGGCUAUGACUAUUCAUUGGCUCUUCUACCAAGAGAAAGCGAGUACCAACAAGCGUGUCAGCCAUCAGGGGUUGAGGUUGGCACGUGCAAGGCAGUAAGUGAAUGGGGAAUAGUGAAUUGUAACAUGGUGAGUCAUGAGGACUCGUCUAGAGCGAUGAGGUUUGAAGAUGACGGUAACAACACUUCUUCCACGGUCCAGCCACCUUCUAAUCUGCUUUCAUUGCGCGGUGAAAAUGGAUUUCUUGGGUUGUUUUAAACAGAUGCUGAUAAUGUUAUAUGUAUGGAUCUCUUCGUAUGUAAGUUCUUUGAUUACAUGUAUCCAUUUAUUUCAUUCUGUAAUUGGAAGCGAAUUGCUUCACUGAUAAGUUAAUAAGAAUUUCUUUGAUCCAUUCGUCUCCCUUCCUCUUCAAGGUAUCGAAAUAAAUGAUAGGUUAAGAUAUUUAAUGUAGGCUUAAAAGCCCAUAGGCCCAAAGGCCCAUAAAGUUUUAAUAACACGGUGGUGGUUUUGGGGAGCCUUCCUUAUCCGCUCGGUGGGGGCUGUGAAACUAUGGCCGGAGUUUGCGUCCCAUGGGGCGGCGGAGCUUGUCGUCUUAUUUCCCCAAUUCGCCGGCGUUUUCCGGUUUCCUCCUCCGUCGCUUCUCUUGCUCUUCCAGACUCCUCCUCUAUGAUCGUCGACGACAAUCUCGGCGCAUUUCUCGAGGUCUAAUUUACUUUUAAUCACCUCUCUAUUCGUCUUUGUUCUCUUCUCACACUUUCGUCUUUAUAGAUUCUUCCAAAAGAUCUUCGUCACCGUCUCUUGAACGAUUCAAGAAGAAACCAGCUCGUAGAGGUUAUUGUUACUCUUGUGAAAACAAUUUCAAAGGCUAAAAAUUGAAAUGAGAAAGUUUAAUGGUGAUGAAUUUUGAAACCUUGAUUAGGUCAUAAUGGAUUUAGGAAGACCACCUGAAGCACGUUAUCUCGGAGAACCUGGAGGUCAAUAUCUUAGGAACAACGAGGUAAAACCAAUUAUUACGUUUGUGUCUUUACUCUGUUGUGUGUUUGUGUGUUUAAAUAUGGAUUCUUGUAUCCAUGAAAACACUAGCUUAGGUAUCUAUGGAAGAGUUAGAGGAUGCUCAAGAGCUUGUAGGUGAGUUUGGAGCUGAUAAUAGAGCUGGAAUAGAAGGUACAUUGCACAGGAUAUCAGCUAUUCGUAAUCGGAAGGGAUUCAUUGUCGGUUUAACUUGUCGUGUUGGGAGAGCUGUGAGUGGUCACAUUGACAUGCUUUAUGAUCUUCUUCACUAUGGCAAAAGCAUCUUGUUCGUUGGACGGUACUUGUUGCUUGUUUUACACACUACUCUAAUGCUUCAUUUCUCAUCUUUGAUGAUGAUUUAAACUUCUAAAUGGAAUUGAUAAUAGGCCUGGUGUUGGUAAGACCACUGUUUUGCGAGAGAUUGCUCGUGUCUUGUCUGAUGAAUUCCAGAAAAGAGUGGUGAGUCUUGCCUAUCCUUCAAGUUUUCUUAGCCUUUAGGUGCUCUGCUUUUAACUGGUUAUGUAUGUGUAAUUUGCUGUUUUUAGGUGAUAAUUGAUACAAGCAACGAAAUAGGAGGAGAUGGUGAUAUUCCACACUCAGCUAUUGGAGGUUCGCGUAGAAUGCAAGUACCUAAGCCAUCUUUGCAGCAUAAAGUGAUGAUUGAGGCAGUUGAGAAUCAUAUGCCUCAAGUGAUCAUCGUUGAUGAGAUUGGCACAGAAGCUGAAGCACUUGCUUGUCGUUCCAUUGCUGAAAGAGGAGUGAUGCUAAUUGGCACUGCUCAUGGAGAGCAGCUACAGAACAUCAUAAAGAAUCCUACUCUUUCAGACUUGGUAAUAAUCUCUUCAUCGCUUGUCUGAAUUUAAUGGUAUCCGUUGCAAAGUUUUUUCUCAUGUUGGUUACGUUCUCAUUGUUGGUUGUAGAUUGGUGGUAUUGAGACUGUAACGCUUGGAGAUGAAGAAGCGAGGGCGAGAAGGAGUCAGAAGAGUAUUCUCGAGAGAAAAGCUCCACCGACUUUUUAUUUUUUGAUCGAGAUGAGAGAAAGAGAUUAUUGGAUUGCACAUCAAGUAAGCAUCCUGUUUCAAAACUCUGUUCUUGCCUCUGCCUGCAGUCAUUCUCAUUCAGUAUCAAAGAUCAUAUAUACUAACAAAACUUGUCUUUCUUUUCACUCUCGUCCAGACUGAAAAGAGUGUUGAUAUGUUGCUUCGCGGAAGAAAUCCCAUGGUUGAGGUAUAUACAGUAGACUCAACAAUAAUCAUUUGAGAAUAUACAUAAUGAUUGACCAAUUAAGAUCAAAAGAUACUGAUUCGACUUCUAUAAAUUAUGGUUUUAAGGUGAGGAGAAGGGAUGAAGAGUACAAGGUGGUGAUAGAAAGAUGGAAGGCAUACGACGGGCAAGGCAUUUGAGUUUCCUUCAUCGUUGUCAAACUUAUGACACUAACAGUAAAUGUGUCUUUCUUAAAUGAUCAACCAUUUGUGUAAAAUAAUCAAAAGAAAACAAUAAGCAUGCAUCCGUCUGAUCACAUAGUUUCAAAUAUACUCAAAUGCACUGUAAUUCAUAGGCCAACGGUUCAUGGCACCAAGCCCAUCACAUGCACACAUUACAUCCUUCUUUCCACAAAAUCCCUGCCCCAAUUCUUAUUCAAUACAUAGCUUCCAGCUGAAUUCCAUCUCUUGAAACACAACUCAUGCGUAGUUCCUUUUUCGCUGUCGAACACCGUGAUUGUUAACCCAUGAAUUGUCUUUGUCUUCAACUAAAUUGAUCUGUUCUUCUGUGAAGUAUUUCAGAAUAUGCUCAUUCAUGGAUUCCUUAGGUAUUUGACGUCCCACGUCGCUCUUAGUGAGUGUUUUCCUGAUAUCCCAUAUAUCUGGCUCUCUGUGGACAGUUAAUUCUGUUGAUACAAUCUCUAUGCCUCUCUUCCUUUGACAUGUUUCUCAAGUGUGCGAGAUGACUACUUCAGAAUCUAUGGAGAGAGUUAAUUCUGUUGAUACUUUAUUUGCAUUCUUUAUCCCCCUUGACAUGCUUCUUAAGUAUCGGAGACUAACUUCUCUUUCGUUUCUUGGGGUAGAUGGAACCGCACGGGCCAAAUCUCCACUUUGACAAGAAAAGAGAUUGAAAAGACAUGGCGUUGUUGGAGUGAUAACGGAAAACAGAGUAACGAAAUAGAAUACUUCGAUUAAUGAAAAUGACAGAUUGAUACAAUGUUCAUAAAACACGAUAUCAACUUCUCAUCUACAAGAGUUCAACAUGAAACUCCGGCGAACGAUGAGGAAUGAUUCUCUCUGAGAAUCCAAAAGGAAACGAUAAACAACAAAUCCAAAAUCUUCAUAUUCUUCUGCAAAUGAUCCUCAUUAGCUAUAUAUUCUCGAUUCUUCCUCUAACACUCCCAUCGACCAAUCUUCUCUUGCCACGUCUCACAGCUACUGUCUCCACUCAUGUAUUGCCCCGUAUCUAACCAUAUAUCAAUGCCUAGUUUCCUAUAUCAUGGAGACGAUGGAAGAGUAUCUUCAGUGUUCAUUACCAUUCCUUCGUUUCUUGUAUCACAAGACACCAUAUUUGCCAAUCCUUCACCGUGGUACGGAAAGAGAGGCAUUGUAGGAGACAAAAGCAAAAAAGCUUUUUAUAUAGACAAAUACGAACUUCACAAUACUAUUUGGCAAAGGUAUUCACAAUCCAAAUGUGUGUCGAAGAUGGAUAUAUUUAACAAUUAAUAUCCCAAUUUGUGAAGGAAAAUAGAUUCUUGUCAAAAAAUCCAACAAAAUAUUUUUUAUUGUUGUACCGAAAAAAAAAAAAAUAUAUAUAUAUAUAUAUAUAUAUAUAUAUAUAUAUAUAUAUUUAGUGAGAGAUUAUCUUAGAUUUACAUUCGAGAAACCUCCACAAAUAUGCACAUUUACGGGAAAAGUAUUUUCAAUAUUGGUUAUUUAGUCCUAAUAAAACCAAUCAUUCCAUACUUGUUAAGCUAGUCAUGUACUCAUGUGGUCAAUUCCUAUAGGUUGCAUGGCCAUUAGGGAGAGUCACUAAGCUAACAUACAUGGACACUCUGUCCAAGUUACUGAUGAUGUAUCAAAUGAGAAAGAGGUGUAUUGUCUCAUGGAUGGACAUAUAUAUGUCUAUUAUGUCCCAUGAACAGAACUAAGUCUCAUCUCUCCGCCCUGUCGUUUUCACCCAGAUUUUAUCUCUCUAAGUCUCCAAGACUCUCUCAAUUCCCAUUAGAAUCACUGGCACUACUCAUUUGAAUUGAUUUGUGCUGAAAAAAAAGAUGGAGGACAUGAACAAUUUCAAGCCCUCAGUCUUGAGCUCUGAUGGGAGUUUGGCUGUUCAUGCUGGUACGUUACGUUAUCUGUUUUUUCUUUGUCACCUCGUAAUUACUAGUAAUUUGUUGUAGGGCUUUACAAAAACUAUAGUAUUUGUUUUUAUCUAAUUUGAAAACAAUCGAAUAAAUGUAAAAUUUUCAGAACUGAAAAAGCAUUGGUAUUGUCUUAUUUUUUUGAAUUCAUGGAAGAAUUGUUUAUAUGAAUGAUCUAAGUGUUGGAAGUAAACAUCGUACACUUUACAUUUGUACACUAAAAGUGUUAUACAAUCUAAAUGUACGAAUCAAACAGUGAAAAGUGACUACUUUGCAAAUUGUGAAUAGUAAAGUGAUUACUUUUCCAAUUAAGUUUGAAAAUGACUAUUUUGCCAACACACCCUUUUUGGGUAUAAAUAAUUUUACAAACAAUGAAAUUUCUGUUCAAUUUAAAUAAUUGGUUUUAAUAAUUUAUAAUUUGAUUAUAAUAUAUUUACAUUUGUAUAUGUUAAUAUCAAAUAGCUUAUUGUUUCGCUGGUUGUUUCAACUAAUCUACAUCUUUAAUGAUUGAUAUUAUUCAAUCACCCAUCUUCUCAGCAUGAGGAAAUUUAUAUAUAUACAUGCAUAGAGUAUAAUAAUAGAACGCUGGUCCGGUCAUAUACAUGCUUCUUGUUAAAGAACUAGAAAAGUUCAUUACUCGAAAACGAGAACAUAACAGAGAAACCGAGACGAUCAAAGACAAAAUGUCUUAUGAAUAUUUAAAGGAAAAGAAAACUCCUAAUUAAGUAGCUCUGAGUACGUAAAAGACAAAAGAAUGACAACUGAUUUAGGAAAUUUCUUAAGUUAUUGUCGAAUUAGGUGUCAUUUAAUAAUGUGCAUGGCCAUUAAGGAGAGUUGUUAAGCUAAUUCUGGAUGUGUUUUGUUGUCCUAUGGAUGUGUUGUGUUGUGUUGUGUUCGUUAGUGAUCCAAAUAAAAAAGACAAGAAAGAGUUAUGUCUUAUGGAUGGACAUAUAUGUGUCCAUUAUGUCUCAUGAAGUCUAUAUGUAUCCUGUUAUUUUCAACCAGAUUUCAUCUCUUUAAGUCUCCAAGACUCUCUCAACUCCCACUAGAAUCACUGGCACUCAUUUGAAUUGGGUUUUAAUUUGUUUGAAAACAAAGAUGAACAAUUUGAACAUGAACAAUUUGAAACCAUCAUUCUUGAGCUCUGAUGGGAGUUUGUCUGUUCAUGCUGUUACGUUAUCUACGUCCAUUAUUGUUCCUUUAUGAUUAAUUGUUCUUUAUUUGCUUUUUUGGUCACCUCGUAAUUACUAAUAAUUAAUUUGUUGUAAACAAAAUCUAUGAUAUUUCUUUUGAUCUAUAUGAAAACAAUCGGAUAACCUCAUAACCAUAUAUUUACAGAAUAUAAAAAAGCUUUGGUAUUGUUUUCAGAUUUCAUAAAAAAAGUGUGCCUUUAAAGAUAGCAGUCAAUAUUAAUGAAAUUACACAAUAGCAACAAUCUUUGUUUUACUCUAAAAAUAUGAGAACUUUUGUUGUUGGCUAGAAUCCAUUUUUACUAGUCAAGUAAUACGUAAAUGGCUAAAUGCUACUAGUUAGUUGCCAAAAAUUUAGAUACUAAUAGGAAAAAUGCUUUUUGCAAGUUACUAAAUUAUAUAUUUACUUAAGAAAAUACAUUUCUCAAUAUUUUUUAUUUUAUUUUAUUCCACCAUCACACCUGUACUCUUUUGGAAAGAGUGUUCUUCUAUCACUUUCAGUCAUAUUUUUUUUGGGUUAAGUUGCAAACUACUCACUUUCCAAAACUUAAUUAUGAAAUAGGGCAGGUUACUAUUUAUAAUUGGAGAUUUAGCCACUUCCUUAUGACCCCACAAAUCAGAAAAUCAAUUAUACCCCAUGGUAACAACUUUAUUUACCAACAUGCCACUAUUAUGACAUGUAGAAGAGAGGGUAAGAGAGAAAUGUGGGUGAGAUUUUUUAUUUAAUUUUCUUUUUCUUUCUUUACUACAUUUCAUUCUUUCAAAGAUUAAUAAUUAAAAUGUUCAUUUGUAAAUUUUAUUUUUCUAAAAUUGAUCAUAUAAAUAAAAAUCUAUGUUUUUUUAUCUAUCAUUUGAUAUGCAUUUUGUUUAUUGAUUUUUAAUUUUUAUAUUACAGAACACUGUACAUAUAAUAACUAUACAAAUAUAGACCACUGUAACGAUAUAAACUACUGUACAGAUAUAGACCACUGUACAGAAUGAUGCAUUUAUAAAGAAAAAAUAUUAGUUCGUAUAAUAGUAAAUUAUGAUUUCGUUAAACACAUGCAUCAUUCUGUACAAUGCUCUAUAUCUGUACAGUGGUGUAUAUCUGUACAAUAGUCUACGUAUGUACAUUUGUCUAUAUAUAUACAGUAGUAUAUAUCUAAGAAAAUUUCAAAAACGUAUUAGUUUCCGAACAAAUAUCUUUCUGUACAAAUGCAUCAUUUUGUAUUGUGGUUUAUAUCUGUAGAGUAAUUGAUAUCUGUACAGUAGUGUAUAUCUGUACAGUGGUGUAUAUCUAUGUAAAUAUUAUUUGUAUAGUAUUCAAUAGUAUAAAAUUUAAAAAUCAUUAAACAAAAUGCAUAUUAAAUGAUAGAGAAAAAGACAUAGAUUUUUAUUUAUAUGAUCAAUUUUAGAAAAAUAAAAUUUAAAACUAAGCAUUUUAAUUACUAAACUUUGAGGGAAUGAAAUAUAAUAAAGAAAGAAAAUAAAAAUUUAAAAAAAAAACUGACACACAUCACACAUCUCUCAGACGCUUUAUCUAUUCCUCUUUCUUUCUCUCCUCAGCCAAAGAGGUUCCUUGAUAAUUUUCAAAAUUCUUCCACUAUCCCACCUCUACUUCUAUUAGCCACCUUAUACACAUGAGAAACCCGGACUAACCAGUCCUUUGAGAGGAAGCCAUGGCACAAACGUACCAGGAAUGCCAGCGGAUGCGCCUCGCUCAUCACUUUCAGUCAUAUUGAAAAACAAAGACAUUUUUUUGUUCUUUCCUUUAUUGAUACACUAAAUAAAUUUCCCACUUUAAUUAAUAAACUAAAUAAUAUGGAUAAAAUUAAGAUAUAUUUAUAAAAUAUUCAAAUAAACUACGACACUUUGUUUUUGUGAUUGUGAAACAAAAUAAAGUAAGAAACAUGCAAAUAUUAAAAGAAAAUGCAAGUAACCAACGUUUCGUAACCAGAGAAUCAGAGGUAAAUAGGAUUUGUUGUGGGUUUAAUGGUUUUCAAUUAGGUGAAAGAUUACGUCGUGAUAUGAAGACGAGUUCGAUCACGACCCUUGUAGUCAACACAACGACCUACUUCUUCAAAGAUACUACCGAGCUAAUCGACUUCAAGGUCCGUUUAUAUAUGCUUCUAGUUAAAAAUUGUAAAUGGUGUGUUCCUUUGACUGAGUUAAUCAACUAUAGGGUUUACAAAUAUAAGUCUACUUUCAAUUUUGUAGGAAAAACGGAUUGACUUGUAUGAGUAUGCUCGUUAUGGAAACCCAACAACUAUGGCACUCGAAGAAAAGAUUAGGUAUAUCUUUCUCUUGAUGUCUUUGUUUACUGUCUCUCUAUAUCAUGAGUUUUGUAAGUUGUUCCAUUUUAUGCUCAGUGUACUUGAAGGGGCUGAAUCAACUUUGGUAAUGGCAUCGGGGAUGUAUGCAAGUAAUGUUAUGCUUUUGGCUUUGGUUCCUACAAAUGGACAUAUUGUGGCAACUAAAGAUUGUUACAAGGAGACAAGGAUUUUCAUGGAGAAUUUUCUUACUAAACUGGGAAUCACUGUAAGAAAAUCUCAAUUCAUAACUUUCAUUUUGUUUCCUUUCCAGCUCCAUCGAUUAACACUUUGUUAUAUAUAUGUGUGUGUGUGUGUGUGUGUUAAUGUCUCCAGGUAACUUUUAUUGACUCUGAUGAUAUUGCGGGGCUCCAAACUCUUGUUAAUAACCAUGAGGUAUUUUAAGUGAUAAUUAUAAGUUCACUUAGUAACUUUAAAGCUGGUAAGCAAUAUAUGAACUUGUGAUCUUUUGUUUUUCAGGUUUCUUUGUUCUUUACCGAGUCCCCAACAAAUCCAUUUCUUCGAUGUGUAGAUAUUAAGUUAGUUUCAAAAAUCUGUCAUAGAAGAGGAACUCUUGUUUGUAUAGACGCUACCAUUGCAACACCUAUCAAUCAAAAGACACUUGCUCUUGGUGCUGAUCUUGUUCACCAUUCUGCUACUAAGUACAUUGGAGGCCACAACGAUGUGCGUAAAUCAGAAUGUGUAACCUUAUUAUUCCUUGGAAAAAUGGUUAUCGAAGAAUGAUUUAUUUGUUCCAUGUGUCUUCUCAGUUUCUAGCUGGAAGCAUAUCCGGUUCAAUGGAGUUGGUUUCCAAGAUUCGCAAUUUGCAUAAGCUUUUGGGAGGCACGCUUAAUCCGGUUAGAAUGAUUGAUCCUCCUCGAAUGAUAUGACUUUGUAAAUGUGUUGAAAUUUCAGUUUUUGUCGGUUUGGUUUUUUAUUAGACAAUUUUGGUUCACAUUCUUCUUUUUAGAUUUAGCUAGGAUCGGUCCUAUUAUUCAACCUUUGGAUAAUUGGUUCUUUGUAAAAAGCAGAACGCUGCAUAUUUACUCAUACGAGGCAUGAAGACGAUGCAUCUUCGUGUAAGACAACAGAAUUCAACCGGUAUGAAGAUGGCCCAAGUGUUAGAAGCACAUCCCAAGGUACUAUAUUUUUCAUCAAGAUCCUUUCUUUCUUUUUGUUUACACAUUAGUUAUCUAUUGGUACGUAAAAUUGAUAAAAGAGAUAAGACAGAUUUAUGAUUGAGUUUUUCGUUAAUCACUCAUAAUCAUUUACUUGUGGGCAAGAUACAUAAAAGAAGAAGAAGCUUACGAGGUUUCUUGCCAAGCAAGUAAUAAAAUGAAAACGACCUUAAAGAGAAACUAGAAGAAGAUAUUAUUGAAUUAAUUUGGGAUAUAUCUUACAAAUGAUCAAGAAUCCCCUAUUUAUACAUGCACGUAGACAAUUAAGGAUCAAACAUAUAUAAAAACAUCAUAACGUUGCUUCAUAAUUUUCCUUUCAGUUUGAAAUAGAUCAUCAUAUCUUAUUAGAAAAGGGUUCAAUAUAAUCGUGUUAGGUGAGUCGCGUUUACUAUCUAGGCCUUCCGAGUCAUCCCGAACAUUUAAUAGCCAAGCGACAAAUGACUGGUAUUGGUGGCCUGAUCUCUUUCGAGGUAAGAAAUAAUAAAACUCCAUCGAUCCAAGAAACUAUAUUACUAAUAAUAAUCUAAAGAUGUCUUUGUUCUUUCACGAAAAUAGAUUGAUGGAGAUCUCAAGACUACAAUCAAGUUCAUCGAUGCUCUGAAGAUCCCUUACCUUGCAGCAUCGUUUGGUGGAUGCGAGAGCCUCGUGGACCAACUCGCCACAGGGAUCUGGUAUAUAUGAUUUUCCACUAAAACAUUGAUAAUUUUGUUUAUUUUGGUUACAUAAUAAAAACGUAUUUGGUGUUUGAUUUAGGGAUAUACCACGAGAAGAAAGGCUUAAAGAUGGAUUCCAAGACAACCUAGUUCGCUUCAGUUUUGGUAUUGAAGACUUUGAGGACAUCAAGGCUGACGUUCUCCAAGCUCUUGAAACCAUCUGAACAUGUUGGCUUUAUUUUUAUAAAACCAAGUUGCUUCCCGUUUCUUCUCUUUUAUUGUGACAAAAGUUCUUUGAAAUAAAUAAUUUACAUAAUAAUAACAAUCUCAAUAAAUGUCUUUUGCAACUGUAAAUCACAAUCCUUAAGUAAAUAUAAUUUUUUGUUACAACAUAUAUCUUACAAUUGGAUUUUUCUUAGAAAGAUGCAAUCCGUAUAAAUAUUUUUUACGAUUAUGUAACUCUUCAUAAACAGUUGUAAAUAUUAAGUUGAACCAUUGAAACUUUUAAUAUAUUUUAUGAUCCUUGUAACUUUUAAUUAUCUACAGUUUUAUGAUGCUUUUAUAUAUGUGUGAUCCUAACAUACACGUAGACAAAUUUUGUUUUAUUUUAUUUAGUUCAGAUGAUGGUAACGUAAAUGUAUAAAGACAAACAACAAGCAUUAGUCGUCUAGUGGUUGUAUUGUAGCCUGCCACUUGACAGUCCAGGGUUCGAUUCCCGGAUGGUGCACAUGAGCUGUGAUGAAAUUGGCUUCAGCGUUGGUUGGGUCCUUCGCAUUAUUCUGAUUACUCAGAUAAAAUUGCCACACUUCUGAGCUCAAUUUUUCUUUUAAAGAAUUUAUUUUCUUUCAAAUUUCUUAUAAAAUAUCUAAAUCCCAUAAAAACUUGUCAAAUUCAAUAAAUAUUCGCUGAAACCAUGUGCGAAUGUUGCACACAUAGUUACCGUAAUUCAGGAUCUUUAUAAAGGCAGUAAUCAUAUAUAUGAAAAUUGGCCAACUCUCUCUAUAUGAGUGACAAAUCAUCACACUAGUGAGUGCCACAUGUCAUUCUAAAUUAAUAUCAUUAAAAAAAUAACUAAACUUAGUGAUAAAAAUUUAAAAGUUUCACAGUGCAUUAAAUCAUCCAUUAAUCUCACUCUUAACAAAAUAUCUUCAUUUAAAAGAAAAAAUACAAAAAAUCAUGUUAAUGUAUCAAACUAUUUUCAUUUUACUUUUCUUAUUUUGCUAUUUUUAUAAUAGUCAUUACUCGAUAAUGACUAGAAAUUUUCGUGUAUUACAAUUUAAUUAUUUGCUAUUUAACCUUUUUUAGUUUAGUAAUUUUAACUUAGCCUUUUUUUUUAUUAUAUUUUUUGGUUUACAUGAUAUGGUAUUUUUGUUUGUUUAUGAUAAAUUAGUAACAUUAAUAAUGACAUGCAUAUUUUAUGGGAUGCAUUUUAUACUAGAUGCAAAAUGAUACUAUUGUACCCAAUGUAAAUAGAUAAAUGAAUUUUGAGAUGCAAUAAAAGUUUGUUAUCGCCAAAAAAAAAAUUUCGUUAUUCAUAAAAAAAAACAUUUCCAAUAAAAUCGACAAGUAGCAUCGGUAACCCAAAACAAAAGAAAAACUCAACUGAAAAAAUGAAGUCACUUAAAUGGGCCAAGCCCAGUGUAUGGAUAGUUUCUAAUGGGCUGGGCUGGGCUGGGCCAACGAUACGUCAUCACCUCGAAACCAAUCCCGUCGCGGUGGUUCUUCUGCCAUGGCGAUCAUGGCCGUUGCCGCUCUCUUUCACGCCCGCUUCCCUCUUCUCCUCCGUCGCAGUAUCCCGUUACUGUCGGCUCCUACUUCUGUUAUUUACAAUCACAGAACUCUUCUAUCCGAUGGACUCAGUACUCGAUUAUGCUCGAUUCUCCGUUAUUCAUCGUCUGACGGCGUCAACGGCGGAAGUAGCGGUGGCGAUUUCGGUAACGAUAACGAUUCCGUUAGUGUUGUUUCGGAUGUUCAGAGUCCUAAUUACUUAAAAUUCACCGAUGAAGAAUUGAUGAAGCAAUGUAGAUUAGAGACAUUUAGAGUUUCAGGACCUGGAGGACAACACCGGAACAAGCGUGACUCCGCCGUGCGUCUGAAACAUCUCCCCACCGGAAUCGUAGCUCAAGCCGUCGAAGAUCGUUCACAGCACAAGAACCGUGCUUCUGCUCUAAACCGUCUUCGUACGCUCCUCGCCAUUAAAGGUCUCAAUCCCAUUCUCUCUCAAUUUCGUUCUUUUGAACUUUGAACUUUGAAAAAUUGAUUCUAGUUUUGCCUUUUUCCAGUGAGAAACAAAGUGGACAUUGAAGCUUAUGCUCCUCCUCCAGAGCUUCUUCAGAUUCUACCUCCUAAGUCUACCAUUAGAACUUCUUCUGGUUCACAGAUUGGUCCCAACAAUCCUAAAUUUGUACCUGUAUGUAUCACUCUCUUUCUCCCUCUCUUUCUCUUAGCUGCUCAUUUACUCAAGUACACACUUGUUUGUUGCCUACAGGGAAUGCAAGCUUUGCUUGAUGUUAUUUCUGCUUCUGACGGUUCUAUCGCUGAUUCUGCCAAAUUGCUGGGGUAACAAAUCCUUCUUGAACCUGUGUAUUUGUCUUUUGCUUAACUUUGAGUUAUCUUGUUAUGUGGUUUUUCAGUUUGAGCACUGGUGGCUUAUCUCGUUUGAUACUCUCCCAUGAUGGUCUUCGUAUGGCUGUCAAUAGCAUGAGAGCAGCCAAGGUACUGUUUGUUGAUUACCAAUCCAAAUACUUUGUUAUCAAGAUUAUGCCAAUAAGGUAGUCAUAGCUUAAAGUGUUUCUCCUUUUUCAUUGAAAGGUCCUGCUUUUUAAAUUGUUUAGGCUUUUAUCUUGGGCAACGAAACAAUCUGAAACCAUGUUUACAAUUUUUGUUUUAGUAGCUGUUGCUUAGUUUGGUAUAUCAUCACUGUUGGAACUUUCAACAUGCUAACUAGUUUCUAAAGAACUUUUUUCUCUGAGCUUUCAGGGAAUAAAGCCUCUCAAAUAGUUGGGAUGUAUCGGCAUUUGAAAGAUGACGUUCGGGCCUUCGACAAGUUGUAUGUGGAUUGCAGCACAGUGAUUACCAUUUUAUGCACCAUAUUUUGUAUACAAAAAAAAAGGUGAAAUGUUGAGUUCAGUUUAACAUUUGUUCUUCUAACAUCAUAAAAAUAGUCACGUAUUUGAGAUGAUAUACUAUAGGUUGUUCAAAUGGUUACUGUUGUGAUUGUUGUUGGAAGCUAAUACAGUUGGAAACAUGGUGGAUUAUAUUAAUUAUUCUUUCUGCUUUUGUUCUUGUUUUCUCUUCAUUUAAGGAAUUAAAUUUCGCUGGUAGAGUACGUGGAAGUGGCAAUCUGGUAUGUUUUUGCAUUUCAGAGCUUUUAUGGUAGACUCUAUAAGGGCUUGUACCUUGCAUGCAAGUUUCGUUAUCAAUUGCUAGAUACUUGCGGUGAGGGUAUCUCCAUUUUGGAGAUAUGAAAAUUGCUUUGUGAUAUAGCAAUGUAGAGUUGACUCUUGUUAAUCAAACAACCCUAGUGCCUUUAUGGCUUAGUAUGCAUCAGUUUCUUUUCUUUUCUUCUAUUAGCCACAGACUACAGUGAGUGUAUUUACACGUUUACAACACACUUAACAUUUCAGUCAAUAAAAUGAAGAAGAACAGGUCAGUGCCUGCAGGAAUGUUCUCAGGUAUAUUGGACAUUGAAAAUAGCAAAAGAGUUUGAUGCAGGAGAAUCAGAUUCUUGUAGAAUGAGGUUCUUUUCUUCCCCACACAGGAAAAGAAAUAACUUUUAUGGAGUUGACUCUUGAGAGAAAUGUUGUUUAUUCAUUUUUAUCUAGAAAACAACAGGAGUUAGAGCCUCGUGGGUGCAUUCUGACUCACUCCUGAUAUAUUUUAAACAUGGAUCUGAAUUCUGAAGGUCUGCUCGAGAGUUCUUGACUUCUGACGAAGUGAACAACGACAAUUCGCCUUCAUUCCCUCUUAUCUCUGCCUCUGGUAUGAAUCUUAUGAUUCUAACAACGGAUUAGUAUAGUGAAUAAUCAGCUUUGGUAAUCAUGUUGAUGCCAUAGUUACUCUGCUCUCAAAAAAGAAAUGUUUGAUGUUUUUCUGGACGUUCUAUUUUAGUCAUAAAGCACUAGCAGCAUCUCUCUAAAGUGACUUUGACUUUCGUUAGGACUAGGCCCUGUUUAAUAUACACUAUUUGCAAGGAUAAUUCCUUACUUUAAGUUUUAAAGAAAAUAUCUGAUUCCUCACCACCAUUUCUUGGGGUUUCUAUUUCUUUUAUUGGCAACUUUCUCCUCUUGGCCCUCAUGUCUAAUUGUAUAUAUAUAGACAUCAUUACAGAAACAGUUUCUUAUAAGAUUUCCAACAUCCAAUAGUGUCAUUUUUAGUCUGUAGAUAUCAAUGAGGCUUGAUUUAUCUGCCAAGUUUCGGCAAGUUCUUGGUCUUGCCAAAGAUCAUGCAUCUAUUGGCAGAGCUAUUGUACAAAACUACAAUGAAAAAGCCUUUUUUGACAUUGAAGUGGCAGUGGUUCGAGCCACUAGCCAUGAUGAUUGUCCUGUUGAUGAUAAAACCAUGCACGAGAUACUCUUCCUUGUCUCUAACACACCGGGAUCGAUUCCUUUUCUUGCUGAACAGAUCUCUCGCCGUCUAGCCAAGACAAGAGAUUGCUUAGUCGCGGGUAAAACACUGUUACUCUUUCACCGUCUCUUGCGUGGUAGCAGUCGCAGUAUCGAGCAGCAAUUGCAUAUUGCACACACAUCUGGUCAUCUUCAAAUAGGUUGCUCCUGGUUCAUGAUGAGCCUGGAUUCUCGAUCCUUUGUUUUUCUGCAGAACUAUGUAGCUUAUCUCCAAGAAAGAGUUGGAUGGAUCAUCAACCAAGCUGGUAAGCUCGAACCCGUAAUGUCUGGUGGUACAAAGUUUAGCCGUUACAAAGAGAAAUCCAUGGAUCUGGUGUUCCACAUCUUACCAAAGUGUCAAGAGUUUAUUGCACAGGUGUUGAAGUGUUCACCAGUUGAUGCCUGGCCUAUCGAUAAUCUGGUUCAGGCAGCUACGGGCAACAUCUUGAAAGAGAGUUUCCAAGUCUACAUGACGUAUUCCGAUGGGAUGACCGCGCUGGUUAGCAUGCUCUUUGAUCUUUCAAGACCCGCGAGAGAUUUAGCUUGCGGAAUGUUGAGAAAAGCUUCUCAACAGAUUCAAGAUCUUCGCAUCCUGUAUGACAAGUGUAGAGGAUUCGCCGGGAUGAAAAGCUUGGAUUACCCAUCUGUGCAAGCCAUUUCUAUGGAUCAUAUAGUAGCACUAGAGGAAUGCUCAAGCUAUGGAGGCAAAAGAGGUUUCUCUCUUUCCACCAACCUAAGAGAUGCAAUCACCUGCAAUGAACUAAAACAAGAACAGCAUUCUGCCAGUUUUUCAUCUACCAGUCCUUUCUCAUUACCAGUGGAGACCAAAAUUAGCAUGGUUUGGGUUGUUUUUGACAAUGAAGAUGGUGAAGAAUCAGACAAGCAAACAGAGAAAGCAUAUGAACGUUGAUCAUUCAUCUCAACAGGAAGUGUCUGGAACGAUUAUAUAAUACUAAUGUAGUGAUGUUGUCAAUUUACACGGGGUUUACCGGAUUUUAUACGAUAAUUUAGCGCAUAUUUAAGAAUCCUCUCUGGGUUUAUGCAGUGGUUUUGCUGCAUAUUUCCAGUGUCACAAGUGUUACGAGCAUCUGAAUUGUAAAACAAAUGUCAUAAGUACUUCAAACCAUUGGUACACCUUCUGAUUCUAAAAAAUUGCCGCUCCAUGGAUCAACAGAAAGAGAUUUGUUUUGUCUUUGAGUAUUGUUUGGACCACACAAUGCAGAAAUAAGACAAUAGGGCCUGAUUAGAAAACUAGAAUCAUCGGCCCAUUUUGUAUUGGGUCUUCUACAUACACUAUAGAUUGACAUGAAGUGUCUGGAACUGGAACAGUACAGAAGACCCUUGAAUUCUCAAACCAAGCUUAUGUGUAGACCAUUCUCAAUUUCUCUGUCAAGAAUCUGUGUCACUAUUCACUUCAUUACACGCAUAUAUAUAUUCACCAGAGACUUGCACCUUAACCUUCAUAGAGAAGAAAACUACAACAAAGGUCAUCACCAGAGGCUUGAUAAUGUGGAUCUGGACUCUGUCAAGGCCAAACUUGAAAACGGUGCCUCACCAUUACCAUCAGUAAGCUUUCCCAAGACAAAGUCAAAGGUCCAAGGGUUGUUGAUAUUGCGUUCGAAGAGGAUCAAACUGGCAAAGUCAGUUCUGCUUAGUCACAAAAGAACUAUGGUUGAAUCAAGACCCGUGUUUAAUGUCUGUAGAAUCUAUGUAAUCUCGUUCUACACGCGAAUAUAUUCUGUAACAAAGUCUCUAUAUUGCGUGCCUUGUUUAUUGAUCAUUCUCAAUAAAGAUACAUGAGGAAAGUGUUAGAAAACUAAAAGAUCAUAAUUAAAUAGUACUAAUGCUUGGCGUAAGAGACUUCCUCUUCUCGAAUGUUUGAUUGUCCAUGGACCUGUAAACUAAAAGUUUUUUGCUGGAAUCACAGAAAGAAACCACGUGAUAGCAUGUUAGAAAGGAAUGGCAAGACUUACUUUCUAAUCAAGCAACAUGUUGUUUGCUGGCUUAUCACGUACUAGUUCCUCUUCUUACAGUACAACAAAAUUACCGUACCAGCAUUUGUGUAUCAGAAACAAAGUAUGUAACCUGUGUAGAUCAAUGAAGAAAAUGCCUGCUUUUCUCUGAAGCCAUACAUAUUGCAAACCAACAAUUUCGCACGAAGCUCGCUGUUAUAAAGCAGAGUGCAGCUGUGUCAAGUCAUAUAGAGAAACUAGGACCUUCCAAAAGUGUCAGAAAGAGAUCAGACUGUCAAGUAUCAUGUAUAUCUCCUCAGUCUCCGGAUGUGAUUUGUCAAGAGAGUAGAACUGAUGGACCUCGUUAUCGAUCUCAAUCCGACUCCAGCCUGGUGGUUUAUAAGCAUUUUGGUGCUUGAUCAUCUUUCUAGCUCUACGUGCCUCUUCCCAAUUACCCAUCUCUCCAUAUAAAUUUGCCAUCAUAGCGACAUAACCUCCAUUAUUAGGAUUUAAAGCAACCAGGUUUUUUACAGCAACUUCAGCCAAAUCCAGAUGGCCAUGUAUCUUACAAGCAUUAAGCAGUGAUCCCCAAAUAGCCUCAUCCGCUUUCAUCUUCAUCGUGGACAUAACUUCUAAAGCUUCAUCAAACCGACCUGCCCUGCCUAAAAGAUCUAUUAGACAGCCAUAAUGCUCAAUCCUUGGCUCAAUACCGAAUCUGUUUGUCAUCAGAUCGAAAUAACCUCGGCCUUUUGAUACCAAACCUCCAUGAGUACACGCAUUGAGAAGACCGAUGAAAGUAAUGUGAUCUGGUUUGAUAUCGUUAAUGUUCAACUUCAUCAUUUCUUCAAACACAGCUAUGGCUUCUUCACUUCUACCAUGGAGUGCAAAGCAAUUGAUCAUAGAAUUCCAAGCUGUUAAACUUUUCUUGGAUGCCAUCUUAAAAACAGAGCUUGCUUCCUCCAAGUUACCACAUUUUCCAUACAAGUCAACUAAAGAAUUCGAAACAAACACAUCAGAAGAAAGAUCACGACGGUAAGCAAAGGCAUGAAUCCCUUUAGCCAGCUGAAGCGUACCAGUUUGAGCACACGCAGAGAGGACACAAACUACAGUUACCUCAUUAGGACGAAUGCUAGGCUCAUUAAUCAUCCUUCUAAACAGAGAAACCGCUUCAAGAAAAAGACCAUUCUGAGUACAAGCAGCAAGAAUCGCAUUCCAGGAAGGAACAUCACGCUCAGGCAUAUCUUCAAAAAGAGCAACAGCAUUAGAGAUAUCACCAGACCUAGCAUACCCAGAAAGCAUAGCAGUCCAAGAAACAACAUUUCUCUCAGACAUUUCGUCGAACAGUUGUCUUGCAAGAGUUAUAUGAGAAACAGAGGAAGCGUAGGAGUGAAGAAGAGCAGUUUGAACAACGACAUAGAGAUGAAACCCAGAUUUAAACAAAUGGGUAUGCACCAAAGGAGUUGAAAAAGCAGAGGAGAGAUAUGGUGUAGACUUAAGAACAAGUGGGUAGAUAAAGUGAUUAGGCCGAGGAACAGAACGAUUAACCAUGAGACGAAAGAAGGAGAAAGCUGAAGAAGCAUGAAGAGGAAGAGAAGAAGAGUAAGCAGUUAAAACGGCAGCGUAAAGAUGCGUAUUGGGGAAAGAGAAACGAUCAAAGAUAAAGCGAGCGUAAGAGAGAUUACAGAGACGAAGCGUACAAAAACGAAGAAGCUUAAAACAGAGGAAAUGUGAAUGACUUAGUCCAGAAACUAUCAUAAAGGACUGAACUUGCUUCAAAUGAUUCAAAUGUCUCGACUUUGAUAUCACUGCGGAGAUGAAUUGAUUCAGUAACUGCUCCGCCAUGUGUGACGACGGCGCGUGGAGGUAAGAGAAUUGUGUUACACGUGUCCCCAUGUGCUCUUCUUCCACCAAACGUGAAGAGAGAGAAGAGAGAGAGAGAGAGAGAGAGAGAGAGAGAGAGAGAGAGAGAGAGAGAGAGAGAGAGAGAGAGAGAGAGAGAGAGAGAGAGAGAGAGAGAGAGAGAGAGAUGGAUAAAAGUGUGUGUGCUUCGUCUUUUUUCUCUCCGAGUCUAUCGUUUUCUUUCUUCACUUUCUCCGUUUUUAUCGUUUCUCUUCUUCUUCUCCAAAUUGAUGGCUUUUUAAGGUUUCCCCACUCGAUCUAAUCUAACCUAACGCUCCUUCAUUAACUUUCUUCAGACAGAUUACAAUAACGUGUAAUAUACAAGACACAGAAACAUCAUUGAUUCCGAUCUCAAGUUUUGUCUUUUUGAUUUCAUAUACACAGAUACAUAGAUAACAAACACACAUCUUUGAUCAAAUGUCUGGACUUUGGAGAUUGAGGAAUCUAAAGUCUCUAGCUUUACAUGCUCGUUCGAUUUCACCUGUUUCCAAUCUUUAUUCUCUGGAAUUAGGAUCAUGCCCUCGUCGUCGUAUUCAAGAACGAUUCAAAUCGGAACAAGGCGGCGGAGGAGGAGGAGGAGAUGAUUUUCCGGUUCCGGUGACUCGUCGGAAGUUAAGAGCAGAGCCGAAUUGUCCUCGUUGCUCAAAGCAAAUGGAUCUUCUCUUCUCAAAUCGUCAAUUUCCAUCUUCUAAUCUUCUUCAACGUCCUGAUGAUUCUGAUUCCUCCGGUGCCGGAGAUAAAACGAACUUCCAGUCUGUUAAUUUCUGUCCGACUUGUAAAACUGCUUAUGGAUUCAACCCUCGUGGUGUCUCUCCUCUUCAAGGGACAUUCAUUGAGAUCGGUCGUGUUCAAUCUCCAACCACUACUACCACCAAUGCUACUACUUCCAAAUCCACCAGGAAACAACAACAACAUUCAAAGGAUCCAAAUCAAGGAUUCAAUUACAGGAACAAGCUUAGAUCUUCCUUUUGGGAUACACUUAGAUCUUACGGUGCUGAGCCACCUGAGGAUUGGUCUCCUCCUCCUCCUCAUUCUCCUUUGAACUCUUCUCCUCCUAAUACCAUUCCUGUGAACGCUUCUCCUAGUGCCGUGGAUACUUCUCCUUUACCUGAUGCAGUUAAUGACGUUAGUCGAUGGGGUGGUGCUGGCCUUGGCAGAGACUUUCCUACUCCAAAGGAGAUUUGUAAAUGGCUUGACAAGUUCGUCAUUGGCCAAAGCCGGGCUAAAAAGGUUCUGCCUUUUCACUUAACAUCUAAGUAUUCUGAUCAUGGUCCUGUGCUUCAUUUGUUACUUAUGACAUGGUUGUCUUGACUUUGAUCCUAGGUGCUCUCUGUCGCUGUGUAUAAUCAUUACAAGAGAAUUUAUCAUACCUCUAUGAAGAAAGGGUUGGUUCUCUCACUCAUCCAUUGUUUAUUUUCCUGGCUUUAGUUACAUGAUUCAGACGCAUUAUCACCGUUCAAUCCGUUAUGGUUUACUCUGAUAUUGUGGACCUUGAAUCCUAGGUCAGCAGCACAACCAAUUGAUGAUGACGAUAAUGUAGAAUUAGAUAAGAGCAAUGUUCUCUUGAUGGGGCCUACUGGCUCUGGUAUGAGCUUUUGUGUUUUCCUGAUCAUAUUCUAUUUUUUACUUCCCAUUUGCACUCUCCCUGCUGACAGUGACAUGAUAGUUUAUUUGAUUCUUUAACAAUAGGGAAGACAUUACUCGCAAAGACUUUGGCGAGGCUUGUAAAUGUUCCUUUUGUCAUUGCUGAUGCAACUACACUGACUCAGGUAAGAUAAUGAUUUUCUGUAUUCAUAUAAGCUCAUGAUUCUCACUACUUCAAUCAUUGGCUGCACAUCUUUCAAUGGCUUUUGUGGAUCCAAGUUAAAUAUACGCAUAGCUCCUGGAAUUUUGAUUUCGUAUGUUGCUCUUUGACCCAGCUUUUGUAUGGUGUGUUAACAGGCUGGUUAUGUGGGUGACGAUGUUGAAUCAAUCCUUCAUAAGCUACUAACGGUACCACUUCUAAAUAAGCCCCGACUAAUAUUCCCAGCACACCUUCCAUCUUGUUGCAUUUUAGAAGAUUCCCUUAUGACUUGUAGGUCGCUGAGUUCAACGUGCAAGCAGCACAACAGGGAAUAGUCUAUAUUGAUGAAGUUGAUAAGAUAACUAAGAAGGUCAGUAUGCAAGACAUGAUAACUUCUGAACUCGAUAAGAAGAAGAUAAUUGGGCUUUAUGCUUCCUGGAUUCUCCUUUCUACAGGCUGAGAGUUUAAACAUUAGCCGGGAUGUUUCUGGGGAAGGUGUUCAACAGGCACUUUUGAAAUUACUGGAAGGCACUGUAAGUGGAUUGCUUUAUUACCCUUUGAUGCAUAUACUGAAAUAAUUCUUCACUAGACAUGAGACACUUGCAUAGCGAGUUAUAGUGAAGUAUCUAGAAGUGAUCCUCAUUAAAAAAAGGUCUUUGCAAUGUACGACAAGAAAGAAUGGAAAGUUUAUUGAUAUGUUUGAUGUAUGCGACAUUACAUAUGAUUACUAAUCCAUUUACACAUCUGUGUUACUUCUGAGGGGCUUUCUCUGAAUGGUUGUGGAUCCAUGCUUUGCUUAUGCAUUGAUCGUUGGAUCUUUUUUUUUUUUUUUCCAGAUUGUAAAUGUUCCAGGGAAAGGUGCAAGAAAGCAUCCGCGGGGUGACCAUAUACAGGUUUAGAGCUAGAAAUUUGAUCAUUGACCUAUAUUGCAUCUAAAGGUGUUGUUUUCUCAUAUUAAUCCAUUGCUGGAUGUCCCUAUGAUGUACAGAUAGACACAAAAGAUAUCCUAUUUAUCUGUGGAGGAGCAUUUGUUGACCUUGAGAAGACCAUUGUGGAUAGGUAAUUCAUUAUUCGUCCUUUUUUUUUUUUGCAAUAGAUUAGGGGUUCUGUUUUGACAUUGAUCAGCAUCUCUAAUGCUCUGCCAGACGACAAGACUCAUCAAUUGGUUUUGGAGCUCCUGUUCGUGCCAACAUGGCUACCAGUGGAGUGACCAGUGGUGCAAUAACUUCAUCUUUGCUAGAAUCGGUAAACACUACAUAGUUUUGUUAAGCCUAGUGUAAACACUUCUCAUUCCUGGAAAGAGAUCUUAGUUUUGGAAUGCCGGCUGCAUUUCAGGUUGAGAGUGCCGAUCUGACAGCAUAUGGCCUUAUACCGGAGUUUGUAGGACGCUUUCCCAUAUUAGUUAGUUUGUCAGCUCUGACAGAGGACCAGCUCAUUCGGGUACUUUAACAUUCUUCAUAGCUUUUAUUUUAUCUUGUAGUGGAUGGUGUGUUUCUUUGAUUGCUCAUGUGCAGCUAGUAAAAUCAAAGUGAGAUAGUGGUUGCUAUCAUCGAGGGCUUGAUUUAAUUGCUCUUCUCAUAUUUAAGGGUAGCUAAUAUCACCUUUGCUUUUUGCCCUGUAGGUGCUUGUAGAACCCAAAAAUGCUCUUGGGAAACAGUACAAGAAACUAUUUAGCAUGAACAACGUAAGCUCCUUCAAAAUAUUCAGUGUUUUAAGUUCAAACUUGACCUUGUGGUCCCUGACUGCAUGAUCUGUUACAAAAUUUCAGGUAAAGCUGCAUUUUACUGAGAAAGCGCUGGAGAUAAUAUCCAAGCAAGCAAUGGUGAAAAAUACAGGUGCGAGGGGACUAAGAGCCUUACUUGAAAGCAUUCUUACCGAAGCCAUGUUUGAGGUAACUUCAGCUACCACAAAUAUUGUUAAGGUACUAAUAUAAAUCUUGCUUUCACACUUCUGUUUGAUUUCUCUUUUCAGAUUCCAGAUGAUAAAAAGGGAGAUGAAAGAAUCGAUGCGGUUAUAGUAGAUGAGGAAUCAACAAGCUCAGAAGCGUCUCGUGGAUGCACAGCAAAAAUACUUAGAGGAGACGGUGCUUUCGAGCGUUACCUCAGCGAGAACAAGUCGAAAGAUGCUACAGAACCAAUGGUAUGACUGCAAACAUCAUCUAUUGUAGUCAAUAUAAACUCCGGUUGUGUGUAUGUAAACAUCACUAGUCUCAUUCUGCAUUUGGCUAUAUUGAUCACUGAAACGGUGAAACCUGAUGGGUGUAAUUUGCAGGUUGACGAAAGAGUAGGCUCGGCGAAAGCAAUGAGAUUGUAAAGAGAAUGAGAGAAGAAGGGUUUUAACAUGAAGAGUUUUUUUUUUAUUAUUUGUAAAGAACGAUAGCAUUCAUAAAAGUGCAAGAGGAAUUUAUCCACUCUGUACAAUAAAAUGUUAGCUUACAGAUUCGAAAGCUGAAUUGUUGUUACAUAGAAAGAAAAGAAUAGGAUCGGUGUAAAAACAACAUUUUUGUAACUCUCUCUGUUUCAAAAUAACAAAAGUGUUAUUAGUUUGUCAGUUCAUGUUAUUACAACAUUUUUUAGUCAAUCUCGAUAAUGUAUCCAUUAGUUAGGACCCCAACAGCUCAAGAACAUAACCGUUCUAAGUGACUCUUCAGAUUGCUUUGACUUGUCAUCAUCCUUACUAGAAGCGACGGCGAUGGAUGAAAAGAAUCUGAUAGCCUCAGAAGCGGAUCUCAUGUUGUUACGGAUACGUUAUUCACUGAUCGGAUCAAGUAGUUCCACCGAUACAUUCCUAAUUGGUCCUUGGAAGCUUCCACGGCUCCGAUGCUUGCAGCUACUAACUAUGCUUUGCUCGUUGAACAGUUGAACUCAUCUUUUUUAUUAGAAACAAAAGCAGAGAAACUAUUUGCUUUUUGUUUUGUUUUGUAUAGAUUAUGAAUUUGUGUUUGUGAAAAAUGUUGAUGAAGAAGAUGAGACUCUGAUUAGUCUUGUUAUAUAAUAAGAGAAAGUAGCCGCUAGUUAAAGUCUAAAACCAGAUCCUUUCUCCCACUAGUUUUUCCCAGGUUUCUAUUGUCUUGGUGGUGAAAUUACCAUUAUGUCCACAUGAGAACAAACUGAAUUAGGGGCACUAUCGGCUUUACGGAAACUAUGUGUGUUCAUGCGCUACUGGUUUCCGUGAUUGUUUUUGAGUUUGACGAGUUUUGUGGAAUUUUGAUAUCUAUAUAACAUAUUUCAAGUACAAAUUUUCUAAUUCUAAUAGGUUCGGGUAUAAAAAAAAAAUCGGAUCGGUUUUAAUUUAAUUUUAAUCCGAAAUUCUUCAGUCGGAUAUUUCGUUAAAUUUAAUCAAAAUUCAUAACGAACUUAAUUUUUAAAUCUAAAAAUAUAUUUUUUCUUAACUAAUUACUAUAUCUAUUUUUUUUAUGGUAUAUUCCUUACAAAUAUUAUAGUUAAGGAAAUGAAAUUUGAUUAUUUAAUGUUAAUAUAACAAAUUUGAAAUAAUAUCCUAAGACCUACCUCUCUAUCUAAUUUAAAUUAAAAGAUAUGAUUAUCUUUCAUUUUUAUUUGAUUUUAUAUUUCUAUUAUUUUGAAUUAUGAAAAAGUAUGUAUAGAUAAUAAAUUCUUUAGCAUAUGAUGUAAUUCAACUUUUUUUAAACGUACGUGUAUUACUCAAUCUAUAAAGAAAAAAAAAUGCGUACAAUACCCACAUCUGAGAAAAGAGAGCUCAGAAAUGUGACAAUUUCAUCUGAGAAAUAAGAAUAAUGCGAAGGACCCAACCAUCACUACUGCCAAUUUCAUCACAGCUCAACUACACCGUCUGGGAUCGAACCCGGGUUAGAUAGUGGUAGAGUAUUAAUCUACCACUGAACCAUUGGUGCUACUUGUUGUGUAUGUAUUUAAAUAUGUGUUAAUAUUGUUUGAGCGAAUUCAUCAAUCAUCAAUCACCUCUCUUCAUGUAAUUUGUUAUUAUAAGUUUGGAAGUAACAAUCUACAUAUACAUUUUUGCAGCCAUUUUAUGAAAUAAAUCCUGUAGUUGGGACUUAUUUACAAUGGCUGCCACUAGAUUUUAAUGUUUGUUUUUUAAAUUAGAAAAAAAAAUUUUGAUUAAAUAUUUGACAUUUAACAAUCUUCCCUAAAUCUCUCCACAUUAAAUAUACGAUUAGUUACUAAAAUAAAACUUCCAAAAUAUUUAAUAUCAUUUAAUUACUACAAAAUUAUCAUUUUUGAUAUUGCUUUUCUCCAUGACUAUAAAAAUUCGAUUAUAAUCAUCAAACCGCAGAGAUAUUUGAUAGCAUUUAAUUACUACAAAAUUACAAAAUAUUUAGACAAUAAUUCAUAAACAUAUCAUAAAUAAAAUCAACAUUAAUAAAAUAAAUGGUUUUUUUACGGGACGGGUUGGCGGGACGGGUUUGGCAGUACGUUACUUAAUAACAAUUGUAAACUAUAAAAUAAAAAUAUUUUAUAGAUAGAUAAAAUUUGCAAACUUUUAUGUAUACUAACUUUAAAAAAUAAAUUGUUCCCGCAGUGUAACGCGGGUUAAAAUCUAGUGGUUUUGUAAAAUUAUAGCUAAUUCAGCCAUGCUCAAAUAAACUAGAUUUUUUUUCCUGAAAUCACUAGAAUAAAUCAUUUAAAAGUAAUUAGAGGUGAACUAUUCAUAUAACAAAGCUUAAGACUUGUUGGUAGGCUGAUCUGAAAAAAUCUUGUUGUUCUCUUCUCCCGCCCCAUCUCAUUUUUUUCUUUUUUAUUAUUUCUCUUUAAAACUUCCCCUCAAAAUCUAAUAAUUAAAUUACUCAUCAAUGAAAAUUUGCUUUCUAAAAAAUUUGAAGUAUAUAAAAUCUAUGUUUUUUUUCUAUAAUUUGACAUGCAUUUUCUUAAUGAUUUCAAAUACUUUACAUAUACAUUUUAUGCGCAUAGUAAAUUAAGUGUAGAUAUGCUUCGAAAUAUACACAUUUUUAUCCGUACUUCUUAUUAAGUGUAUAAAUAUAUAGAAAUGUACACAUUUUUAUAUGUAAAGCUCAUUUAGUGUACAUAAUUAUAUCAAAUAUGUAUUCAAAUAUACACAUUUUAUCUUUACUUCUUAUUUAGUGUACAUUAAAUGAGUGUAAGAAUAAAAUUGUGUAUAUUUAUGAGAUUUACAAAUCACAUUAUGUAGCUAUUCCUCUCUAAAAAUCAAAUAUAACAUUUCUACUACCAUUAGGAUUAUUUGUUAUUAAACAUGUGAUUAAGUACUUGAGAGGCAUCUAAAUAGUGUUUAAUAGUGAAAACUGGGUAUUUUGCUAAUUUUGAGUAGUAAAGUGACUAUUUAAGUUUUUAAAAUUGGGUAUUUUGCAAGUUAUCCCAAGAAAAGAAAUUUUAAUUUUGUAUGAUUUUGGUCUCGUGUUGUGUAUAAAACUUUUGGAAGGAUACGAGGUUAUUCGGCUGGUGUUAUGAAUUUCUAAACGUUUUCAUUAGUCAAAGUGUCUUGUAUCUCACAGAGUCUAAAUCAUUUUUACUAUAGAUUAUCUUUCUUAAAUGUUGUGGAAGCUACUUACCUUCUCUACCAUAAUAGUGAUCUUUGAAGAGACAUAAGUGUUUUUUUUAUGUGAUGUUCAGUUUGAAUUAGGCAAAUGAAUAAUUCAUCUAGAUUUCCAGUGAUAUCCAACAAUUACGAGCUUUUAGAGGAAAUUGGCCAUAGUUUGCACCGAUCAUGAUGUAUUAUCCCUCUCUCAAGAUGACAUGUAUAUUGAAAUUUAAUUCAUGUUGUUAAUAAAAGCAUGAAAUUAACGAUGAAACAAAAAUUUUGUGAAAACAUCAGGUAUUUAUUGAUAUGUUCAGACAUGUAGCGUCUUUAUCAAACCACUAGUAACUUUUUUGAUGACCUUGAGACAAUCAAACUCAAGAUGUUUGGUUCUCUCAUGAUAUCAGGGCCGACCAUGAAAAUUUGGGUCCACCAACAAAUAAUUUUGAGGUUAUUACAAAGAUUUAGUAAAUUAAAGGUUUUUAAUGUAUAAUUAAAUAAUUAGGGGUCCUAUUGCAAAUAAGCUUCUGCUGUAGAUUUUACAAAAUUUUGGAGGCCCCAAAGCCAAUAAUGCUCAAGUUCAUAAGAAUUAAGAAAGACACUAUUAAUGCUCAAGUUUAACAAUGACAACUAUGGACGGAAAACUCAAAUGCCUUUGAUCGUAGCUUUUGUUCUCAAUCGAUCAACUAAAAUUUCUCUGAUACACUUUUAAGUUUCUAACAAAAUUUCCUUUCAAAAUAGAAUAAAAAAGUUUAAACACACUUAUCUCCUCUAACUUCUUCGAACGUGAGCUUCCUUUAGCAUUGUCUGCCAAAGGUCUUUGACACGAUGACGAAACUUUUUCUGAAACCAAACUUCAAUCUCUGAAUAAAGCACAUUCGGAUUCUGUUCCCAAUUCUUUCUCAAACUCUCCAAAGUAUCAAUCUUCUUCUCUGUCAAAACCAUCACCAAACUCCCAACUCUUUCUAAACCCCAAGCUUCUCUUUCCAACAACGUUUCAGGUUUCCCAGCCAACAAAGCCCUGAAGCUUUUCAAACAAGUUAAUACCUCUCCUUGAAGCAAAGCGCAUCCGAAAGCCGCUGCUCGGUCUCUAUCCUCUGUUAUUGCCACACUGUGAGCCGGAAGUUCCCAAUUAUGAGGACCGAAACUCGGAACGACCCAGCACAAAACUCUAUCCUCCUCACUUGAGUAAUAUGGUUUCGGGUCCUUGAGCGGUGCAGAGAACACGCAGAGAGACUUUGCGUGCUUCACCAGCCAUUCUGGCCUCACCCGAGUCGCUCCGUGCAUGUAUGGUCUGUUGGUGAGUAGGAGCUCGCUGUAGACCAAUAACUCCGGAGCUGAGUUUAUGAGAGACGACCAACGGUGCAAGAAAACAGGUUCUUGAACCGCACAUGCUUGGUAUUCUGUCGCUCUGGUCUUUCUGGCUACACGGUCUGCCCAUCCCGCACAUAUGGCUUCUCCUAACAGUUCUUCUUCGUUCUGUAGAAGAGGGGUUUUUGAGGAAGUCGAUGUGGUGAUUCUCCAUGACUUCUCUACGUCUUGUAUAGUCCCAUGAGUCCAUGAAAAGCUGUCUUCGGUUUCGGAGGGCUUACAACAGUUGAAAACAAGUCGCAAAAGCUGAUCUUUGAGCUUAGACAUCUCGUCCAUGGUCUUCAAAUGCAACCCAUUCGCCUCGCAGAAGCCCAUGCCAUUCUCCGAGACCUCAAAGGAAUGCAAUGCGUAAGCUACAGUCAAAGCAUCGCUGCUCGGGUUGGAAAAUCUGUCCCGAGCAGCUUUAAUCUUCUCUUUCCGAUCCUUUUUCCGUUGUUUAUCUUCUUGUUUGACGGUUUUGUCAGCAUCUUUGGACUCGUUUUUCUUCUCUCCUUCAAACUCCAUUAUCAAAGGGUUUGGUAAGCUCAACGCGGCUACUGCUGCAACCGCAUAUCCAAGGAUGAGAUUCGCGCGUGAGUAAUUCCGGGUCUCUUUUAGCAUUUGGAUGACUGUUAGAAGCAUUCUUGAGUGACGUGGACUCAUAGGAUAGUGAGACAUAGCCUUUCCUAAUGGUGUUAACCCUCCGUUGCUGUCUAGAGCCUCUAAAGCUUUUAGGCAUCGUUCUGCUUCUCUAAUAGCUGAUGGCUCAGGCGGAGUUGGAAACGGGAAAUUCUCAACCUGUUAGCAAUAGAAAAACGCAAAGAUUCAUCAAAAAGUCGAGCGAGACAGAAAAGGAGAUCUAGUCCAUUGACAAUGGUGGCUACAAACAUUUUACCUUUGGAAUGUUCAUAGAUUUCAUGAGAAGAAUGACUCCAUCAACAGGAACUUUCAUGAUUUCAGGAAGCGAAGAUUCCUCAAAUAUAUUGCUAAAAACUGCAGAUGAAUAGAGACGAUAACAGUGACCAGGUCCAGUUCGUCCAGCUCUUCCAGCUCGUUGACUAGCCGAAGCUUGGCUAAUCCAAUCUACCUCAUAACUUUCCAUACCAGUCUUAGAAUCAUAAUUCUUUACUUUAACCCGACCUGUAUCAACCACAUACUUUAUACCAGGAAUAGUCAGAGAAGUUUCCGCUACAUUAGUCGCCACAACCACAAGUCUUUCUUCUUUCUCAACUUCCUCAAACACUCGAAGCUGUGCAGCUGGAGAUAGCAUAGCAUAAAGUGGAAGAACACGUAAUUUUCCUGGAGAAAACUUGUUUUUUACCUGCUCAGCCUCUUGAUUCUCUGCUGCAAUGGACUUUGCCGGCUCAGCAGAUACGGAUCCAUUUUUGUCUGCCAAAGCAUUAAACGCUGCUCGGAGAGCAUCAAGCUUCCCUUCCUCUACAAAUGAACUUGCAAAGCCGUCAUCAACAGUUUCCCAGUCCCUGUCUUCAUCAGACUCAUACAUGUCUUCCUCUUCAAAAUCAUCAUCAUAGUUACCAUCACCAAUAUCAGAAGGAUCUUCUCCAUGCGAGCUAAACCUGGAAUUUUGAUUGUUGGAGUCAUCAUCAAAUGCUUCAGCAAUCUCCUUCAUGUCAACACCACCAAAUGAACCAUCAUCGCAUUUCUUCUUCACAUAAGCAUCUCUUUUAGCAGCUUGAACAACAAGUUCCUUUGAAGACUUACGUAACUUCUCACAUAAAUAGUCAACUUCUCUCUGCCCAGUCACAAAAACAAGUAUUCCUCCUUGUGGUAACUUUUUGUGAAUUGACAUCACUUUCUUAUAAGCUUCACCUAUAUAAUCAACAAUCUCAGUCUUCUUGGAGAAAUGUAUAGUUACUGGAUACUGUCGAGUGGGAACCUCUAUAAGAGGAGGUAUAUUAGGGAAUAACCUUUUCCCCGAUACAAAAUCUUCCACUCGCAAAGUCGCACUCAUCAAUAUAAGUUUAAGUGGCGUGAUUUGGCAUUCUGAGGUUACUGUGCCUCCAGAUUGAAGACUCUUUUGUUGUUCCUCGUAGUAUUCCUGUCGGAUUUUGAUGACUCGAGUGAGCAUCCCAAUUAGAAUGUCUGUGUUCAAGCUUCUUUCAUGGGCUUCAUCGAGAAUAAUCACAGAGUAACGCCUCAAUAAGAAGUCAUUCUGCAGCAGAAGAACUUAUACAAUCAAGUAACCAUGAUAAAAAUGGAAAAGAAUGUACAAAACAAACCAGGCGAAAAACCGUCAAUUACCUGUAUCUCACGAAGUAAAAUCCCAUCGGUCAUAAACUUGAUAGAGGAGUUUUCGCCAAUCUUUUUGUCGUACCUAACUUGAAACCCAACCUCUUUACCAAGACGAACACCAAGCUCAAAUGCCACUCUCUUGGCAGUGGCAAGAACGGCGACACGGCGUGGUUGGGUAAUCCCGAUAAUCCCACUUCGAGAACUGAAUUGCUUUGAACCAAAACCAGCUUCAUAAAGGAACUGAAGGAUUCAGAAACAAAAACAGGGUUAGAUAAAGAAAGGACUUUCUAACUGAGACCAAAACUCAGCUAUCAGAAAACCGUUACAAAUGCAGCAAACUGACCUGAGGAACUUGAGUGGUUUUACCACACCCAGUUUGUCCUGAAAUAAUAACUGCAGGGUGACGAUUAAUAGCUUCCAUUAUCUCCUGCUCCAUCAUUACUAUUGGAAGAUCCUUCCUCGUCUCUUCAACUUCGGCUGGUCUUGAAACAUGAACUACAAACGCGGGCACACGAGGUCCUUGUACAGUUACAUCUUCAUUCUCAAUGAGCCCAUCCUGUUUCAUAAUAAACCCAUUAGAAACAAUCAAAUCAAAUAUAUAAGGCAGCAAUAAUAGCUCAAUCAAAAAAAAAAAAAAACAUCAAAUUUUCAGAGUUGACAAACCAUUGAGUCUUCAUCAUCAUCACGACAAGUUGUCAGUGGGAUCAUAUCCACAGUGUCGUCUACCUCAAGCUUGCUACUACUUUCUUCAGCAGAAAUCAUUAGAUCAGCAUGAACCAGUUGCUGCUCAGAAUCAGUUACAAAAGUUGGAGUUUCAAUUUCAACAUGUUCCGGUGUUGUAGGUUCAUCCAUACAAGAAUCAUCAUCAUUGUCAUUUUGCUCGACUGAUUCAUCAGAAUGCUCAGUCUCAACACCAGCUUUAGAAAGUUGCAUUGCUCUCCUUCUUUUUUCCAGCUUAGUAGCUGACUGAGUAAAAGAUUAACCACCAAAGAAGAAUCAGAACAUCUGUAAGAAAUCGUAAUGUAAGAACAAAGAAAGAAAAUUUCUUACUCUUCCUAUAACUUUUGAUGAUUGUAAUAGCGACGAUACAUCCUCAGAUAUUUUGUACUUGCUGUAAAAAUUCAAUACCAAAUUCAUUCAUAUAAAGAAAACAAACAAACAAAGAAAAUCAUAUAUUUGAAUGAAGCGUUGAACAUACUCUAACAACUCGGCAGUUUUUGAAAAGAGGAUUUCUUUCUCCUUAUCUUCCUCCAAUUUCUUCAGCUUCCGUUUCUGAGAUUUGCACGCUACCGUGUUUACAUUUGAAUUCAGUUUCCGUUUCCGAGAUUUCUUCGAUCCCGUGUUAUUAUUUGAAUUCAGCUUAUCCUGCAUCUGUCCACCAUGAAAACAAAAUUUCCAAAUCUCAUCAGCGUUAAAAAACCUCAAAAUCUUAUUGAAGAAUGGUUUGAUUAGAGCUAAUACCUUAUUGGAUCCUUUAUUCUUCUUCUUCCUAGGAGGCAUUACAUCUAAAUUGCAAUCAUCUCCCACCACACUUGCCAUAAUCGUACCAAUUAUAUCAACUAGAAAACAAAAACUGUUUGUCUACUCAGGGAUCUUCAGACAACCUGACACAGAAGAGAGAUAAACUUAAAGGGGAUUCUGAUUAACAACAACCACUUUGUUUCUACACACAAAAAAAAACACUCAGGUCUUAAAAUCAAACAAAACUAAUUGAUUCAACAACUGGAAACACUUUACAAUCCCUCAAAGAGAUAUAGCUUUCAAAUUCAUAAUUAGAAUGGAGUUUUCACUCAAAAGCUAUGUAAUUCUCGCCGAAAUCACAACAAGGGACAUCAAAUUUUUGCUUCCCACAGAUUACACUAAACCCAAAACCGAAAUCCGUAAUAACGAUGAAACAAGCAUGCAUUUACUCAAAUUUAAAGCGAAC
rnacentral:lncRNA from 1 species